rnacentral:lncRNA from 1 species
CUUUCCAUGAGGUAGCAUGCAAACAAUGUAGGAUGUUUGAAUGCCCUAAAAAGGGCGUUCAAAGGUCCUUUUGUGUUUUCCCACCUUAUUUUAUUUUUCGUCAUAAAUUUACUUUGAAUUUCAAUUCAAUUCCAAAUUUAAUAUUUAUUGUAAUAUCAUAACACUCCAAAUAUAUAUUUACCUCAAUCAAAUUUCAAGUUUAAGUAUAUUAAACUUACUCAUGAUGGUAAAUGACAAAAUCAAUGCAUAAAUGAAAUACAAAUUGUCAAACUAAUCUAAAACAUCAUCACGUAGUUGUGAUAUGACUUUAUUUUAUUUUUCACUUUUUGAGUCUAUGCAAUUGAAAUAGACAUCUUUCUUCUCCUUCUUCAUUUUGACAUUAAUAUCCGUGUAAUCGCGAACACACACAUAUCUUAAAAUUACACAUACAUAUAUCUUAAAAUGAGAGUCAUUGAGAGCUUGGAAUGGUUGACAUUUCUUGAUGUUUGUUAGAAAGUAACAUCAUCUCUUAUAAGCUAAUUUUAGUUUCUAAUACGUUGCCUUCUUUAUUGUGAUUUGAAGUAUUAUUAUUAUUAUAAGAAAGUGAUUAUUAUAGGCAAUCGCUUUUAUAUCGUGAUUAUUAUAUACAAUCAACUUUAUACCGUGAUUAUUAUAUACAAUCAACUUUAUACCAUAAACACUCGAACGUAAUAAAAUUUGUCAAUGACAGAUUCAUCAACUUGUUUUGGAUAACGAUCUGAAAGACAAUUUUUUUCCUUUUUAUUUUUAUAACUAAUUUUAAUUACACAUUGAUUUUUAAUAAAAAUGUCUUUAUCAUCUUCCGAUCUAACUUCUAUUGCUACACAUGGUAAGAAACCUACGAAGACCUUAAGUGAUGACGACAAAAGAUAUUCUGUCUCCAACUCUAAGUCUUAUUGAGGUUUUGUACGGAGAUGCCUCCUAUUAACGAAGAGUGAACUGAUAAUCAAGUGUAAACAGCGACUGAAACUUGGGAUCAUUCUAAAUUUUUGUGCUAAGGACUAUACUUUAAAUGGUCUGAACAACAUGAAUAACAUCCAAUAAUGUCAUGAAGGGCUUAUGAAUUGCAGGAAGACAACCCUACUUACCUGAAAGAUAAAAGGCAUGUUUGGGCCCUCCAUUUUAUUGUACCACUCGAGACCCAUUUAAUUUGAAAUAUAAAAAUUUAGGAGAUGGCCCUUGUGAUCUCAAAUUUUGAAAUUUGAAGCUAUACAACCAAAGGAAUAGAGAGUAGUAAUUAAAAUAUUUUUUAUAUUUUUAAUUAUUUUUUAACCAAAUUAAAAUAAAAUCAAACACUAGAAAAAGGUUAUAAAUUUCUUCUAAAAAAUGGUUUCAAAAUAGACCUCAUAAUGUUUUAUAAUUAUGGAUAUAAGUAUCCAUUUUGAUACAUUUUUAUUUUUUUGUUUUCAAAAUAUAAAUAAUAAUAAUUUUUAUAUAAGAUAUAAGAAAUUUUAGAUAUUUUCAUCGAACAUGUAAUAAUUUUAAAAAAUUAAGGCAUUUAAAUUUUAAAAAUUUUGCAAGUGAUUUUAAAGAUAUAAGGUAAGUUUAUAAUUUUUUGUGGUCAAAGUUUCUAAUUAUAAAUAAAAAAAUUUAUUCUAAUUAUUUUUUAAUAAAGUAAUAUUUUAAUAUUUAAGAAAUUUAAUUUAAACAAAAGAGAAUGAAAUGAAUUUGAGGAUAUCACUUUCCUUUAUUGGGAAUCGUGUUUUUCAAAACAUUUUUCUUUAGAACCCGACAGGACCACGCAACUUAAACCUCAAGCGGGUCUAUCCACGUGGCGACCACUCUAAGGUUCUCAUUCUGAAAAAUACCGAAACACCCCCAAAAGGAGCACGUGCAUGCGCGUCGCUCCACAUGUCCAGAUCCGUUAAAGAGCGGGAAAAGCCAUUCAUUUCAAAUUCAAAAAUUUCAAACGGUUCUAAGCCAAAGCACAGUAAACACCGAUACCAAAAGCUCUUCUCUCUCUACAGUUUCAUCGCCUGCGAUUUCUACCAGUAUGAGGUAUUUCCAUUUGCAUAGAUCCGUUUCUUUUCUUCUUCUUUUUUUGCAUUUUUUAUUGUAUUUUCUAUCAUUUUUGUUCUCCGCAGAGAUGGAUUUUCGCGGUAUGAAGAGGAAACAACUACAAGCGCUGUGCAAGCAGCAUGGUGUUCCAGCGAAUUCGACGAAUCUUGAGAUGGCUGAUAGGCUCUCCUUGUUUUUUAAGGUUUGGAGUUUACCUUAGCCUUGUUUCCUUUGAUUUUUCUUCUUUUCUGAGAAUGUUCAGGAAAACACAAGAAAUUAGAAUUUUGUAAUUUUGUUUUUUCUCAACUGUUUUCCGUGUCACUAAAUAAGAAUCUUCAAUGAAAUGUGUCCGAUACAACUAUAUGUGGAAUAGAACUUAUAAUUUAGGAAAAGACAAGGAACCAAAAAAUUUAGUGAUUAAAUUUUUUUAUUGUUUUGGAAUAAAGCAAUGAAAAUCUUUACUAUAAUGAGUCCAAAUUCAAGUGUAUGGAACUGAAAUAAGGAAUAUGUCUCUUUUUGGUUGUGAGAAAAUUCAGGAAAAAAUAUGAAGUAAAAUAUUUAGGUAAUUCAGCUUUUCCAUUGUUUGAGGUUUGGGAAACAAGAGUUUUCACUGAAAUGAGUCCUUUAAAACUAUAUGGAAACUGAAAUAACAAGGAUUAAGUUCAGGGAAAGAAAAGGGACUAAAUUUUUUUGUACUUUUGCUUCUCAUCGAGUGGAACCUGGGAAAUAAUUCACUGAAAUGGGUGAAAUUCAAUUAUAUGCAAGCUAAAAUAAAAGGCAAUAUGAGAGUUAGAAGUUUGUUUUGUUUUCUUAAUUUACUUGGUCUCCCUGGCAACCUAACUGAGGUUGAACUUUAAUUGGGAAAUAGAUGCAUGAUUUUUUUCUGUAAUUCUUUGUUGCAGGAAAAGGAAAAACCAGUGACGCAAGGUCGGUCUUGCUUGAAGAAUCUGGAUGGGAUAGAUAGCCUAAAUGAUUCUAAUGCUGUCACCUGCGAUCCCAAGAGAGUUAGGUUUAGUCCUGAAAAUGAGACGUUUGAAUUUGAGGAUUCUGAGAUAGACAGGGAAAACACCCCAGCAAGAACAAGGGCGGCAAGGGCGGCAAGGAGGUCUAGGGUGAGACUGGCUAAAGAGAAAGUGAGUCCUGUUGGUGCAAAUGCUGGAAAUAGUGAGUCCUGUGAGGAAACUAAAGGUACUCUGAACAGAAUCACGAGGCACCAAGGACAAAAAAUCAUAGAGGGGCAUGCAGUGAAGUCUUCAUCACCUCUUGUUAAGGAAAAGGGGGCGAAAAAAGGCACAAAGAUCAAAAGUACAGUUUCAGAAAUUGUUGAUAAAAGUGCUAAGUUAUCCCCAGUAUUAGAAAUGGAUGACAAUGCACGUGGUAAAGAAAACGGAAGACCGAUAAGAAGGCAAUUGAGGAGUAGGGAGGUGGUAGUUGAGAAUGCCAGUGAACUAGGAAAUGAAGAUUCUAUCAUUCCAAAGAAGAAUCCAGUGCAGACAAGAUCAAAGAGGAGGAAUCCGAAAGAUAGUAAUGAGGUUCUUACCACAGAUGAAAUUUCCGAAGACAUUAUUAGUGAAGGAGAAGGUGAAAAAAUUGAAACUGGAAAGGUCUUUAGGCAAUCUAAACGGAAGGCGAUAGAAGAUGGCGAGUGUGAACUGUUUGGUGGGGAAUUGGGGAAAAGGAAAACGGUUGGAAGGAUCACAAGGUUCCGGGCCCAGUUGGUGGGGCGAGAAGCAUCUGCUGUUGAAGGUGAAAAUGAGACUGGAGAUGAAUCUGAAGUCCAGGUUUCAAAAGACUCUGAAGCUGUUCUUCAACUCAAAGAGCCUGCUAAGUUAGGUAGAAACACUUUGAGGCAGAAAUCUGCAAUUUCUCAAUCAGAUCCAUCUGUGAGAACAGAGACCAGAAAACAAUGGAAGGGCACAAGUUUGGAAGGAGGAGCCUCUGAGACUGAAGUGAGUAUGAAAGAGAAGGAAAAGGUUUCUCUACCUAAUGGCCCUCUAAGGAGGUCCAGACGCAACACUUUAGCAUUUAAGUCUACUGUUUCUCCUGAUGGAGGGUUGGUAACUCAUGAAGCUGUUGGAAGGAAUCAGCAAUUGAAGCACUUGGGAGAACCAAUUACAGAAAAAGAAGCCUCUAAACCUGAGGCAACUGCUGAAAUUUUGAAAGAAAAUGAGAAGGUUUCUCUACACAAUGGCCGUCUGAGGAGAUCCAGACGCAACACUUCAACAUUUAAGUCUAGUGCCCCUGCUGCUGAUGGAAAUUUGGUGACUGGCGAAACUGUUGGAAGGAAUGAGCAGUCAAAGUGCUUGAGAGAAUCAACUCCAGAAAAAGAAGCUUCUGUAACUGAAGCACCUUUGAGAAGGUCCAAGCGGAAUGCUUCUAGGCAUGAUUCAAUAUCUGCAUCCACAGGAAUGGAUGGCAUUCCUAAUGCCAUUGGAAAGAAUAAGCCACAGAAGAGAAGUCUGCAGCCAAUUCUCGAAGAAGAAACUUCUGUGAUUGAGAAGGAGCCUCUAAUUGAAGAACUUCCAAGACAAUCUAAAUAUAAUGCUUCCAAAUGUAACAUAGUUGGACCUGCUAGAGUAGCUGGUGAAGUUAAGGGAAAGAAGAAGCAGCGGAGGAGAUCAAAAUUUCCAAGCUCAAAAGGGGAAGCUCCAUUAACUGAAAGCAUGUUGGAUAUUGAAGAAACACCAGGCAUAGAUGUUGAAUUGUCAGAGCCAGAAGCUGCAGGAAGCAAAAGUUCAGUUUUGAUCCACCAAGAAGGAACUCCUAAAGAUAAAGAUACUAGUAAGAAGAGGAAGAGCUCCAGGAAGAUAUCUAGUGCAAAGAAGCAGCAACAUGGGUCAGUGGAGGUUUGCCCUGUAAUUUCUGACUUAGAGGAAGUUGAGGAUCGCACAACAGUGAAUUUCAAGGAUAUUCCAUCCCAAUCUGCAGCUGCCAUAGAGGAGGAUAUUGUUGAGGAUCUCACAACAGUGAACUUGGAGGACAUUCCAUCUCAAUCUGCAGUUUCUGUAGAAGAGGAUAUUUCAAUGGAAAAUGAUAAGGAAAAUUUGGUUCAAGAUAAAGUUAAUGAAGGUAACAAGGUUGAUAAAGAAUCUCAGUUCCACAACAUGAGAAGUGAUCUUGAUUAUGAUAAUUCAGUUGAACCACAAGGAAAUCAAUAUUCAAGUAGAGUUAGCAAGGAACUGGUCUCUCCAGUCUUUGACUUCUCAUCUGUCCAGCAACCAGAUUACACUGGUAAGUGUCUGUUGGCUUUUGGGACCAUAAUCGGUUUAGUAUUUUUUUCAUAUAAUUGAUUACUCAGUGAUCAACAAUUUUCAGGAUCAUCUGCUAAUCAUGUGAAGUUGCAGAGAGAACUGGAAACUGAAGAAGAGCUAUCUGCAGGCAAGCAUAUAGAUCCAGCAAGUGAUAUUUUUGUUGAUCUUGCAGCUGAAGAUGACAAAACUUCAGUUGAAAAGGAGCAGAAGUUAGGACUAGGAGAGAUGAAUGGUUGUGCUGAACCAGUCAUGCAUGAGUUAGAGGAGAAUGUAACUGAAUCUAAUGAAAGUGGCAGCUCAAAAAGGAACUUCGAAACUUUCAGUGAGGAAUCUGGAGAUAUUGCUUUGCUUAACCCCUCCAAUGGAGAACGGGCCACUCCAAAUAUAUCAGGGAGGAGAGAUAUUGAUGAUGCUGAAGAUCCUGAGGCUGCUGUUGAAUUUCCAGAAAAUGCUGUAGCUUCCCCUGUGGCAGAAAUUGUUGCAGAACAGGUUACAGAAAUCCAGCUUGCCUCAAGUGGUCAAUGGUCUACAGAGGAGACUCCUGUAAAGAUUGUUAUCACACCAGAAUGUCAAAGUAAGUGUGUACUGUAUCCUUUCUUUGUCAAUCAUUAGCCAUCAAAUGGUCUGAUGAUGUUAAAGUUAUACAUAAUUCAAGAAAUUCAUUUGGCCAUUUUCUUCUUUAUUGCAUCUGCUGUUAUAGAUGACAAAGUGGUUGGUUCUUGUUUGCACACUGUCUCAGCAGAUGAUGGUUCUCAAGAAGGUUAGUUCCAUUUAUACAGGGCACUGCAAUCUCCAGUGAGUUUUCUUGCUAAUUUUCUUUUAUUAAACAUGCAGAAGGGUAUCAACUCAAUGCUCAACUUGCUGCACAGUCCCCUGUGCUUGGAAGAAGCAAUCCAAAUCAUGGUGAAGGAGAAAAAUCUUAUAGUUAUGGGAAUGUUAUCAUGGAUGGAACAAUGUGCGGAGGUGAAUUGUCUGUUAGUGAUGCCAGGGAGCGAAGAGAGCAUCCUGUUUUAGACGAGUUAGAUGGUCAAAUUUCCGAGAAGAAGGAAAGUGUAAUGUCAAAGGGAAUCACAAGCGUUUCUAAGGAAAUAAAAGAGACAGGUAAACAUAUACUUUCCCAUAGAGAAGGAAUCUGUCCAAUUACCUCAGCAAAGAGUGAUUGAACUAUUCCUAUGUUAUUGCUCUUCAAUGACAGGCCAUGGGACACCCUCAUGCUCACUGUUAUUGCUUUAGUAACCGUAAAUUGUAAGAAAAGCCUAAUACCAUUCUUGUUCUUGGUUUCAGAUGUUUCCCACUUGGAUUUUCUAUUUGGAACAGCUUCUGGUAUUGUUGAAAGAAGUUUGCCAUCUUGUGAGCACACUCACUUGAAAGACAAAGGUGAAGAGGACCAAGGUUAGUUCCAUAGUUACUUGCUCAGCAUAGGUUACCCUUCAGCAAUUAUUUAAUUAACUCUUUUCUAUUUGAUGUGCCAAAGAUCAACUUAAAAUUCUGUUUGGCAUACUGGUUGACAAUACAGAUCCUAUGGAGCAAGAUGAAGAGUCUACGCAUGUAACUGAAAUGGCGAGCACAACAAUAUCUGCAGGCAAAACUUCCAGUAAUAAUUUGGGAUCUGGAAGGUUCCAUCAUGAGAAGUAUCAAGAAGAUGCAGGAGUAGGGGAAAGUGAUCAUGAGGGAAUAUCUAAUAUGGGCAAUCAAUCACCAGAUGUUAAUGAAGAUAUUUAUAAUGAGGCUUCCAAAGGGAACUUGGAAGUGGAAAUUACAGGACUGGAUGGCUGUGCCUAUCCCUUUCCAAACAAGUUCUCUAAAGAUGAUCAUGCUACAGUCGACAAAGAAAGUGGAGGCUCACAUGUUUACUCCAGAAAUGCUUCAGGAGAGGGCAGAGGUACAAAUGUGGUUGAACUUUCAGUUGGUGAAGGAAUGCCUCCAGGUGUCUCUAUUAUGGAUAAAACUGGAAAUGCUUCUGGGGAGGUUGAAGGGACAAAUGUGGAUGAACCAUCUUUUGAAGGAAUCACUCCAGCUAUCUUAGAAGAGAGAGUUAUUGCUGAAACCAGAGAUUUUGAAGAGGCUGAUAAGCUACUUGAAUUUAAUGCAGAAUCCCAUGUAACACCUGGAAGCACUGCUGGAGAUAUGGAGAAAGAAAUCUAUUUUGCCGAAAUUACUCAAUGUUCUGGUGGAAGUGGAUUUGAUCUUCCUCUCUCACAUGUCUAUGCCCUCGAGCACCAAGGUUUGGAACAAGCUAAUGCCUUCCAUUUUUUGGUUUUUAUUUUAUUUUUCAUUUUACUCUCUGGAAAUCCUUUCUCAUCAUGUUUUUUUUUAAGUACUUUCUCAUGUAACAUUCACAUUUUUAUUCUCAGCCUCUGGUAACGUCCACAAAGAAAUGUCUUUGAGCACACAGAGUCCUCACGUCCAAAAACAAGGUUUGUUCCAUUCUCCAGUGUCUUUUCAGGAUUGAAUGACCAGGCCAAGGUUUAAAAUAUUCUAUGUUUCAAUGUGCAGAAGGGAAUCAACUUGAAACAUUCUGUGUCAAUGAGGUUUUGAGCCAACAAACUAGUGGGGUUAAAAGUUUCACUCUGGAGGCACUUGCAAUGAGUAGUCCACCGUUGUUUUUAGAGAAGCUGUAUGGUCAUGAAGAGGAGGAUUCAGAGAUGAACUGUAAUGCUAAUACUGUUGUAGAUGAGCCUUUUAGCAAACAUAGUGUAGUAACUCUUGAUGGGAUUGAUGGCAAAGGCAUUGAAGAACACAUUUGUGUGACUAGUAGCAAUCUUGUCACAAAGAAAGAAAGUGCAGAGGUUUUGCCUGAAAUUGAGGUUGGUAAUGUUCAUGAUGAUCACCAUGUGGUGGUUGAACAAAUGAAUUACAAUGUUGAUGCAAGUUCGGCAGAGAGAAAUUGUAAAGAUAACAAGAUGUCUGAUGAAGCCAUUGCAGGGUUUUCUAGUGUUGGGUAUGUCACUCUUGUUCCUGGGGAGAAAAUUUCUGAGUUUGAGCCAGGAACUGAGCUUGGUGACAGCCAGGAGGUGACUGCACAGGCAAAUAUCAUCUUUGAUGCAAGUUUGGAUGAGAUCAUUUGUAAAGAAAGUGAAGCACUGGAGAAGACAACAGCUGGAAUUAAGAAAAGCACUUUGGAAGGCAUUGAGGAAAUCACUAUGCUGGAGGAAGAAAAUGGAGAGAUUUCAGCACCAAUUACUCAAACAAAGCUUGAUAGGGAGGUCUUAGAUCAAGGAGUUGAAUUUAUAAAGAUUAAUGGCAGUGCUCAGGUUACUUUGGUUGAGACUGUACAUGAAAAUGAUGAAGUUCCAGAAGAGAUUUUAGAUGAAGUUACCAGUGAAAAAAUGAUUUUGCUCCCUAUGGAAGCAGAUUUUGACUGUAAUGAAUUGAAUAUUGUGGGGGUAAAGAAUGAAAUCUCACUGCAACGUGAUGAAUUGAAGUCUAUUGAUCUUGAUAUUCAUGAUGCAAAGGAUAAAAGCAUCUUCAUCAAUUCAGACCAAUGUAGCUCUGCAGAUAGAGAAACUAUAGAUGAAAGAGAACAUUCAAGAAUCUUGGAAUGCAAAUUCAAUUUUGAAGGUAAUUGUUCUGACACAAAGCACACAGAUGUUGGUGCUUCACCACUGAUCAGUCUAAAAGAUUUUGAUGAUCAGAUAGAGGACGAGGAAGUUGCACACAUGCAUGAUAGUGAUCAUUGUCUUUCAUUGGAUCUUUUGAGCAACAACAGUAGAAUUGCAGCAACGAAAACACAUAAAACCAUUGCAGAAUCGGUUAUGCUGGAGGCAGAAAAUGGAGAGGCUUUUACCCCGUUUGGUUCAGAGGGGCUUGGUCAGGAGGUUUCAGAUCAUGGAGUUGAAUUUCCAAAUUCUGCAGCUUCAGACGUGAGUCAAGCUGUACAUGAAGCUGAUGAAAAUCUGGAUACAAAAUCAGGUGGGGGUGUAGAGAUGAUUUGGAAAGGGGAUGAAGUGAAGUUUGGUGAGCUUGAUGAUUCUAGAGAAGAGGUUCUCCCAGAGACUGACAAGAGUUCUUUAAUUGUUCCACAUGAACUCACUUCCACAGAUGGUGAAGCUGUGAAUGGAACCAUGAAAGAGAAUAGUCACUUUGAGGAUGUCAAUUUUGAUUCCAUGAAGGAAGAAGAUGUUAGCAAUUCACCUAAAGUAAAUGCUGGGAAUUGUGAUGAUCUCUUGGAAGAGGAGUCUGCAGAUGUGAAACACAAUGGUCGUGAUGUUCAGAUAGAUCUUAACUGCAGAGACAUUGGAGGUGCAGCAGACCUAGUUGUUGAAGAUGGCAUGGUUUGUGAAAUUGGUUCUGAUGAUAGGAAUGGUGACAAUAUGUGGGUUCAGAAAGCACAGACUUCGCCAUGUAAAGUUGAUGAUGGUAAUAUAUCUUCUUCCGAGCCUGAAGGGGAUUCAAUUAGUGCCAGUGUCUCACUGCUGAAUGUUUCAUCAUGUCAAGGUGAGCAUCUUCACCCUUUCUUUUUGAUAUGCUUAUAUAUAUAGUCAAAAUGAUAAUCUUCAUCAACUAUCUCUGAAAGCCUCAAAAUCUUUAUCUGCAAAUUACCAGACAUUCAAUAUGUAGAAGCUCUGUAAGUUUAAUAAAUCAUUCUACCAGUUAGGCGGUGGGGAAUUAAUCUAUUUGAGACCAAAUGCAGCAGGUGAAUAUGAAUCUCAUGUAAAAUGUGCAGGAAGCAGUAGCAAAACAGAAAUCAAAGAAUUGAUUGAAGUUGUUCCAAAUGAUGAGAUUAAUGAUACCAAUGAGGCUGCAGUUUGCUCUCCUGCACCGGUUGAUUUUUAUGAGGAUAAAGGUAUUUAGAAACUUAGCUUGUAAACUACAUAACACAGUUACAAGAAUGUAUUUCUAUCUAACAUCUAUUGGCCCAUUCACAAACAAAUAUGAUAUAACACCUAGUUACUUUCAUAAUUUCUUAGGUGAUACUCUUAACUUUGUGGGUAAAUCCUCAGAAGUUAUUAAUAUUACAAAGGAGAGAGGCAUAGCAGAAGAGAGCAGUGCUGGGAAGGCUGAGGAAGUACGUGGUUCAUCACAUAAGUUUGAUGAUGAGAUGGUCUCUUCUGGUGAUUCUAAGGAGCCUCCAAAAUUUGAAAAGUUUGUCGAGGUUUCUUUAUUGGAAGCUGAAAAGGUGGACUGUUGCUCUGUUGUUUCACCAGUCAAUGAUUCUGUUGAUCAUGGUAAGUGCUUAAUCCACUAGUCUUAAAAAGUUUCAGCUGUUUCAAAUUCUUAGAUAAUCAUUUUCUCCUUGACAGAAUGUUAUUCCUAGUUUUUCAUUACUAAUGAUUUUACAGCAGAAGUUGCUUCAAGGAAGCACUUGACAAGAUUAGAAGAUACCACUGAUGAUUCCUCUCUGACCCAUCAGAUUGGUGUGAAUUCCAGUCUUGCCUCAUCGGAGACAGCAUCCUAUGAGUUCACUGACUGGGAAAUAGAUUUAUUUUCUCAUAAUCAUUUCAGUAUGGAAGCAGUUUGUGGAACGAGUUUAAGGAUUAUAGAUCAAUUCCCUGCAGUCACUGAUUCAGCUCUGUAUAAAGGUAUAGAUCAUAUUUAAUUGGUCUGUUCUCAGAAAAGGUUAUCUAUAUAUAUUUAUGGGGAAUAAUUCUUUAGACUUUCUCUAAUUAUUUCUCAGCCUUUGCAGCCGAAGAUGUCCGCACUGAGAAUCUGAAGUUGGAAACAGUUCAGAAGAAAAGUUUAGAUGUAGAAGUGGAAGAAAUCAACCAUUUAUCAUCUCAGCAAUUCAAUUCUUCUAUGAAAAUGAAAAAUAACUUGAAAAGCAGCAUGACCCAGAGAACUCCCAACAAGUUCUUUAAGGCAUUCGAUAUGAAAGAGAACACCCCAAGCAUCAAGAUGGAGCAGAUGGGUAAUUUCUCAGCAAUGAAAUCAGGGACAAGGAGGAAAGCCUUGGAGGACCUUCAAAAAACUAGAGAGCGGAACAGCACUGCUCGCUGACCUUUUUUCAAGGAUUGGAUGUUGUAAAUAUGGGGCCCCAAAAGAGUGGCCCCUCAGUUGACGACCCUGAGCAUACCUCAUGCAAACAUUUGUGGAUGAAAACCCCACUAGUGGGUUAUUGUUAAAUGAGUACUUUGUUGUGUCUCCUUUAUUGUAUUUGUAGCAAAUGAAACUCCAGAAUCAGUGUCACUUCUGCUUGAUUUGCAGUUUGACAGACAUUAUCAGAGAAAAUCUACCUUCUUUAUCCAUGAGAAGCACUACAUUGGAAGAGCUGGUUUAUUGCUUGAUAGAGCAUUGAGAUAAGAGUUUAAGUUUACAUGUGCUAUUAAUUUCAUCAGAUUGAUCAUAAUAGUCUGAGCAUAAGACUGGGAAGAAUGAGAUCUUCAGUAUGUAAUUGUAAGCUGAAGAGUCCCUCGAGAAAAAUUCAAGGACAUUUAUCACAUUAGGCUCUCAUUCUGCAGGAGAAUAUCCUUGAAAUUUUCUUCUCUAACCAUGGAAAUGAUGCAAAUGGCUAUAGAAGAUCAUUUCCCCCUGCUUUCUCACAACAGAAAAUUUUCCUUCAUCAUACUAUAUAAGAACAAAUUUGAACAAAGUGAAGUAUUCCAACGAGGCAAUACACAACGGACCAACAAUUUUUUAGCACUAAUUCAUCAAAACCCAAGUACCAAAAGAGGAGAAAAAUCAUUUGAAGGAGCCCAUAUAUAUGAAGAAGUCCCUUAUUGAGAAGGGGAUAUAUUUAUGAUUAAAUCUAACGUAUAUUCCUUUUGGGAUUACAGAAUGAUCCAACCCCAUCCAACCACAAAACCAACGUGUAUAAAAAAAGAAAAAAAGAAUGAAUGGAAAUUCUGCAAAACAAAUAACCAAGUCAUAUCUCAGUCCUUUUUAUCUACACAACCCCCCGGCCCCCCCCACCUCCAUUUCCUUCACAUCUCAACUCAUCUGAUGAUUCUCAUUCACAACCAUGCGAGUGUUGAGAGAUAGCUUCGUCUUCGAUCAAAAACACAUCCCUCUUCUGCAAUUCCCAGACAGCCUUUCUAUAUAUAGUUCAAACCAUCUAAAAUUUAAAUUUCAUGUAAUCCUAGUCACAAUCCAAUCCACAGACUUCUAAUACAAUACCACCUUUUGAUACAAAUGGGUUGACUCUGACCCAUAGAAGUGAGAAGAUUGAGGCUAGAAGAAUUGACCACACAACAAUAAUGGUGGGAAGCCUAUCUUGUUUCCCCAUUAACCCCUUGAGGAAGGGGUACAGGUGAACAAUGACCCAUAAGGCAAAGAACAGCUUACCAAAUAGAGGGCCCCAUUCUUCAUAACCGUUAUUGAUGGCAUCUGAAAUCCCAACCAUGACCCCAAUUAUAUUCAGGAUCAGUAACGUCAGGGGAGGGAUCAACAAAGAUGUCCACUUAAAAAGGUAGAGCUCCGAAAACUCUCCAUCAUCUCCUCCUUUGGAUGUAACAGUGAAGUUUGUGUUAACACCUGCCAAAACCUUAAGCAGACCUUGGAAGAGAGCAAACAGAUGUGAUGAAGCACCACCAAUCACCCAGAACUGCUCAUUUCUCCACCAGUCAUCUAUGGCAACCCGUCCCCACUGCAUCUCAAGGACACCAGUUGCAGCUAUAGAUAUGAAGAGGGCCAUGAAAAUAAUACUGGCAUAGUUGCUAAUCUGCACAUCAUGCAAAAAAUUAGGAUUAGCUGAAACCAUCACAACCCACAACUAAUGAAAACUAUGCUAAGCACAGGAUCCUUGUUUUGGCCUAUGGAGAUGAAUGAAUAUUCAGGUUUAUGAAAAGCUAUAGAAUCCAGCUACCAUCUUAAAUGAAAACACCAUGAUGUUGACUUCAACAAAUAUCUAGUAGAUAGGAAACAAAGUUUGAUUUCAUGGAUAUCAACUGAAGACUAGUAUGAUCAAGUGAAACUUCUGAAAUUUCAAGGAGGAAAGGAAAUUUCAAGGCUAAUGAAAACUAGAAAAGCAACCUGGAGAUUGAACUUGACACGAGAUGUCAAAAGUUCCAUUCUCCAAUGGAAAACCUUGCCUGAAUAUUAGUAGAAAUGUUUUGAUGCUUGUGGUUACAAGUAUUCUAUCAUGAACCUACAACUAUAUAAUCUUGUGGUUCUUCCAAGGAAAAGAAAAGAAGAUCUCAAAAUGGACAUUACAGAGAUUGAUAUUUAAGAAUGAAAUAGAGCUAGAGGUUACCUCGGGGACAAUGAACUUCCCAGUGAGGAGACAGAAAGCCGGCAAGGUACAGUAGGCAAUCAAGGGAAUGGACGUCCACGGAUAAACAACUGAGUUGAUAUAAGAGAAGCGCUCCAACCAUUUCAAACCACCUCCAUAGCCAUACCAUAUAGGGCAAUACCUACUGAAGAAAAUCUCAACAGAUCCAAGUGCCCAACGUAGAACCUGGUGUAAACGAUCUGACAGGUUAAUGGGAGCUGACCCCUUAAAUGCCGGCCUCUUGGGUAUGCAGUACACUGAUCGCCAACCAUGGCAUUGCAUCUUGAAUCCUGUUAAUAUAUCCUCUGUAACAGAGCCAUAUAUCCACCCAACCUGAUUCAUAAUUCAAAAUCUGGAAUUUAGAUACAGAUGAAAAAAAGUUUACACCUUGUUUGGAAGGGACUGGAAAAGCUAGAAGCUUUUAAAUUUUAGACAGAUGCUUCUUACCUCUUUCCCCCAUUCUGUUUUAUCUUCAUAACCACAGCUAAUGACAUGGAUGGCUUCUUUCAAAAGUGAAGCAGUGGUUGCUCCUUUUGGAACACCACCUUCUUCUAAAAGCGUGGAAGCUAUAAAAACCGGAGACUGUCCAAAUUUUUUCUCAAAUUUCACUUGGGGCAUGAGCAAUGAUCUGUCAUUAUCUAUUCCUGCAAUAUAAAUUCCACAGUAAUAUUACUACUUUGGCUUUAAAAGCAGUAGACCUGAAGCAAGAAAACCAGUGUCCCCCCAAUAAUUACUACCUUGAAUACACAUAUUGAGUUAACUAAAAAAACAAUAAUAGAAAAUUCAAAAAAUCAACUUCACAUGGGAAAAGUUAUACACAACAUUGUUGCCAAUUAAUUAAGAUAAAUUAGGAAUUUUGAAGGUCAUUUAAGAAUUACUUGAAAUAUCUAGAAUACAACAAAAAAAAUGCAGAUAAUAAGACAAUAUGAUUGCGGUUAAUGAUUAAAAAUUGGGAAUUUUUCAUAUUAUUAAGAAUUACUUGAAAUAUCUAGACUACUUGCAAAAGUAAAUAACAAUUGCAUAUAUUAGAAUAAGACCCAUAUUUCCUUCAAAGCCACCCUUACCUUCAAUUCCCUCUUCAAUAUUUUCGAGUGCAUGUAUUUGCUUUGAAGCUUCCCUGUUUUUCAUCUUCUUCUUUUUGUCAGUUGACUUCACUUUCUUGUUUUUCUUCCUUGAUCCACAACACAAGCAGCACCAUUUUGGCCAACAAUUACACGUCUUUCCUGGGGGUUUCUUAUUGACAGGGGCAUCAUAUCCAUAGAGUGCCUGCCGUCUGAAGACACAGCCAGUUCCAACAUAAAUUGGUCCCUGGAUCCCAUCCAAACCUUUCAUAUUGAUCUGUUUUUAAUUGAAAACAAAAAAUUAGCUUUCCUCAAUCAAAAUUUUACAAAUUCACAUCUGUGCAUCAUUGUAUCAAAUUCACACUGGAGUGCCUUACGUACAUCAAAGAAUACAACGUUGCGAUUUGAGUAUCUAUCAUUGCGAUCAAUCCCAUCAAACCUUUGAGGAAACUGUACAUAACAGAUUUUCUUUCCUGAUGUGGGGUCCAUCAUGAAGCACAUGGCUUCACGAAGGGCCUUACUGUUGUUUAUAUAGUGAUCACAGUCCACGUUCAGUAGGUAAGGAGCAUUAGAGAUGAUUGCUGAGACUCGCAUCUUGAAUAAACAGUCAAAACAAUAGCCCCCAAUCAGGAAAUGGGAAAACAAAAAAUGGGAUCCCAAAGAAAAAGAAUGAGAGAGAGAGAGAGAGCUCUACCAAAGCAUUCAUUGCCCCAGCUUUUUUGUGGUGAUCAAAUCCCGGUCUCUUCUCACGAGACACAUAAACUAGACGAGGCAACUCAUUUCCUUCAACAUCACGAACACCAUUAUGACCAAGAAAAACCUGUGCAAGGCAAAAAUAGAGAAAAAAAUCUUUUAAUGUCUCAAAUCUCAGUAUGUAGAAGGUCCAGCAAGAUGCAUGCUGCUCAGGCACAAAAAUCCAUGAAUGCACUCGAAGAAAGAAAUCACCCCCUCACCUGGAUCAUUCCAGGAUGGUCCCUGACAUUGUUCCCAGGCCAUGGAGUCCCAUCCUGCAUUGUCCAACCUUCCUCGGGGACCUUCUGGGCCAUAGAAACCAAUGCAUUUAUCCGAAUUUUGAACUCUUCAUACUCCCUCUGCACCAAUCAGGAACCAAAUAUUAUUGUUUUGAAAUCAACUUAUUGCUCUCAGCAAUGGUUAUCAUGGCAAUACUUUGUCAAAGAUAAAAAAUCAUCACAACAGGACAUCUUUUAUCACUAAAUUCUAAAACUUGUCCUCCACAAGCCAUUUUAAUGAUGCAUAUUUAAUGCCACUCUAUAUGGUUUAAGAUGGCAUUUUGUUUAACCCGCAUGCAGCUUAUAUAGAAUGCACAUUCAUUGGACCAAAAUAUGAACAGAUAAAGAUACAAGGUGUUAACCUUCAUUGCACGACGUUCCCUAACAAACUCCGGAUGCACUUUGUCUUUCAGAUAGUCAACCUUCUGAGCAAAGUACCAUUCUGGGGCCCUCGGCUCAAUGCUGAACUUCUUACAGAAUGGGACCCACCUCCUAGCAAACUCAGAUGUCUCAGAAAGGGCUUCAAAAGUAAGCAUGGCAGCACCAUCAUCUGAGACAUAGCAUGCAACUUUCUCGACUGGAUAAUCUACUGCAAGGAUUGACAGAACUGUGUUUGCUGUGAUAAGUGGAGGUUCUUUCAUGGGAUCAACUGUACUUACGAAUAUGUCUAUAUCAGCUAAUUCAGAUGGCUUCCCUUCUUUUUCAUACCUGAGAACAAGGUUUAAGACGCAUAGCUAAGAAAACAGUACCAUGCAUACAACCAAACAAGAGAGAGAGAGGGAGAGAGAGCACCCCAAAUACCUCAGUGAUAGCCUAUCAAGGUAUGUUUCCCGCUCGAUUGGGUACCACUUUGGGAACUGAUCCAGUAUCCAUGAUACAGCAAACCAUAUUUCACAAAUAACUGAUGUUAACCAUAAUGCAUAUGCAUCAUUAACCGGGUGGAGGAUUCUAUAAUGAAAGAAGAAGCCAAGAAUCACAAGCCGGAGUAUAAUUAUGAUUCUGUAUGGAUUUAUCUUGCUUGAAGGAAUUGGUAUUUUUCUAGAUAGAGGUUGCCUGCCUUCAUCCAUCCUACAUAAAAAAACAAAAAUAAAUAAUAAGUCCUUCACAUUCAAAUAAGAGAAAUGGGGAAAACACAAAUAAUGGAAAGAGGAAUGUGAUGUUCAGUUCCUAAUUAAAUUGAGAUAAUGCUUUCUAUACCACCUCUACUCAGACUAACACAAGGAAAUUUUAUUUCAUAAGAUAUUGUUACUGUUCCCAAUAGGUGAAGACUUCUAACUGUCAGCAAUGAGCAUGUCAGACAUUCAUCAACUUGACAAACAGUUCUGAUACCUGUUUACACACUGACAAAUGCGUCCACAUUCAUUUUUUGAAGAAACAUGGAGACAAACAUGUUUGUAGUGCAUUUUUGUUGCAAACACAUGAAAGCAUUUGCAAAACUAUAGAUGUAGCUAUCUCCCAAUAGCUAUGCUUCAGGAGUUUCAUACAAAAAUGUGCAUGUAGCUGUUUCCAAUGUGCAUUUAGCUUUUCUGAUUCUAAUGAUAAUUGUUUUCUAAAUGGAUUGUUAAUUGACUCACACCUACAUCCCUUCCAAGUUCAAGUUAACCACUUUCAUGCCUCUAACAUGUAUGAACAACAAUUAAUAUAUUCAGCUCACUAGCAAGUAGCAACCCCAAGUUCAAUCACAUGUUAGUUAACAAAUGUUUAACAUCAUAAAUUUCAUCACCCAAUAAUUUUGUUAUACAUUGAUCCAUAAGCGACCUAUUUCUCAUUCAAAUUCUGCCAAAAUUUUAACUUAUGGGCCAUGCCCAUAAAGGUGGUGCUCCACUGCUCACGUCCCUUCAACUUUCAAUGAACAGCAUCUAAGCAGUUUUAUUUUUUUUUCCUUUUUAAGCUUUUACCAUGUAAUACUAAAGUGGGCUUUCACGUCCAUGACAUGUUAGAUCUUCAUAGUAGUAGCGUUGAAUUUCUCAUUAACACAUGUUUACUUUGUUCACAUGCAUUGCAUGUGCCAUGGUCCCCUAAUGAACGAAUACGACCAAUUUACGGUUUUGAUAAAUGACAAAAAAUAUCUAGCAAAUGACCUCAUUUCAAUCUUGUCAAGGUUAAAAAGUUGAUGCUUCAUAUUGCUCCAAUAACUUGCACUCUUGUAUUACAUUUAAUCUUAACACAAAGCCACCGACAAUGCUCUAUUUGAGGCAAUUUCUUUCACCCAAGAAAAGAACAAAAAUAGAAAUGAUAAACUCGCAGGUGAAUAACAAUGCUGUUAGCCUGAGAGCUUAAGUUACCAAAAAACAGUUUGAUGCAUGAAAAGAAUUCAAGAAAUAGUACUUUAAAAUCCCAAAUUAUACUAAGCUACGAAGAAAAAAGUUACAGGAGAAGAUGCAACAAAUAGAAUAUGGUGAAGCAGUGAUUGAAAAAAUGCACCUACUUGGGCAAAUCAGGAUCAUCCAGUUCAUCUUCAUCAAAGUUUCCACCAUCAUUUCCUCCUUGGUGCUUAACAACCUGAAGUUUAUCAUUCUGCUUUUUCUUCCACUCUUCCAUUCGGUCCUUCCACGCAACACUUCCAUACCCAUAUACUGCCAGGUCUUUCUUAGGAUCCAUUGGUCUGGGUGGCACUGCAACAACAAAACCAGAAGGCACAAUAAAUAUGAUGAAGUAAAUGUGAAUAGACAUAACAGUGAGAAAAGGGUUCAAUUCCACAUAAAAACUAAUGAGGAAUAACAAGACUUACAGGACAUAGAAGAAUCAGGAAAUGGCAUAGGAUGGACUCGUUUUCCACGCCCCAUGAAUGGAGGAAUGAUAAGGGCGUGCUUAUCAGAGGAAAUCCCGACAUCCUUCAUUGAAAACAAGCAAACAACUAUUAUCAUAAAACAGGAAUCAUUAAUUAUAUGAACAUAGAAAUGGAACGAUGAAUAAAAAAUGCGAGUGUUAAAUCAACUUACAUAUUGGCCAUAGGUCAGAAGAGGGAUUCCUGAAGGGACUGAUGAAGAAUCCAGAUCCAAAGGCGUACUAAUCCCUGAAGUAUGGGCAUGGCUGCCGAUGUUCAGGUGAGCAGAGAGCAUAGCCUCUGCAACCUGAUGAGGAUCCCUACUGUAAUUGCUUCUGAAAUCAAACUCAUUCUCCAAAUCAUCAAUGUCAUCUUCCUCUUCAUCCCCUUCAACUCUGGGACUACCUGAUGUUUUAAGUGUGCUAUUAGUGGAAUCAUCACCAAGUAGAGUGGAGUUUGGGAUGAAAAAACACAGAGUAAUAGAAAAGAGACAGAGUCAACCAAGAAAUUAUAGAAACCCUUUACCUUUGAUGCGUUUGUAUCUGGUUUUGCAUUGAGGGCAAGCUUGAUUACCCUCCCUUCUUUCAUACUCGUAGCAGGGUCUGCAUACAGGGAAUGCACAUUCAUUACAGGCAACGAAUGGCUCCCCAUCCACAGUAAUCUCUAUCUCAUCCCCACAAAUCUGACAAAUCUGCCCACUCAAUUCUUUCACGGAAGUCACCUGUAUGUCACAGCAAAGUCAAUCGGCAUUAGGUCAUGAAAACUGGAUUUUUUGCUCAACAACCCCAGAUAGAAUAUUGAAGCAGCAUAUGAUUUUUAAACUACUCAUUCACACAUACAAAAACACACACACACACAUAUGCAGAAAUAAAGUAUAAAAUUUUGGUGCAGACCUGUAUGAAACAUAGAAAAUAAGGGGAAAGGUAUGGAUUUGUGAAAGUACAGAGUUCCAGAACAAGCAUGAGCAAAAGAGCUAAAAGAGUCAUGAAAAUGAAAAGGGAAGUAAAAGCCAUCCCAUUCAAGAAUCACACCUUUAAAAACAGGAACUUGGAUCAGAGGGAAAAAAAUUAAUGGAAGAUAGUGUCACUAACCCAAGAAGGAAAUGGCAGAACCCACAAAAGCUAAAUACAGAAAAUAAUGGAAAAAAAAUGUUAUGAGAACAAAAUAAAAUCACUGUAACAGAAAAUGAGCAAAUGGAUGUCUUCAAAAUCAAGAAAUGGGGCUGACAAAAAGUUUCAUAGACAAGAAGAACGUCGGAAGAAAAAAUAGAGAAAGCACAUUUUUAGAUAUUUUUCUUAAAAUCCAGAAAUGGAGUCGAUCAACGAGUUGAAAUAAAAAAAUAGAAUUAAAAAAAGGAGAGAUUUUGAAGGAACUUACUCGUCCAAUCUCAUCAGCAUUGAUCAGAACAAACUCGUUCCGGUUGUGUGAACCCGCCACGAGUCUUCCUUUGGUAUCCAUGAAAGCCCUCAAGAAUCAGACCCAGAUAGAACCCCAAAUGCUCGAAAUCAAGAAGACCCACCUCACGAUAUCAAUCUCCCAACCCCUCUCAUGCGCAAGAAGCAGACUUUUUUUUUUUUCUCUCCGCCUCUCCCUUUCAGCUCACUUUCUCACAAAAUAACCCAACCCCACAUCACACAAUGAACAAAUUCACACCCUAGAUAGAGAGAGGGAGAUGCAAACAAUAAAAAAGAAGAGUGGGGAAAACAACAAAAUGAGAAAAAAGUAUCACUGUUUUUGUUUGAUUGUUCCUCAAAGAAAACCCAAUGUUUUUAAACGUAACAGAUGGGUGGGUCUCUCAGAACUCAGAAGUGGGUAGAGCCGAUCCGUGACACGGGGUUGCAGAUGAUGUUAGAGAGAGAGAGAGAGAAAGAAAGGAAUCUAUUGGGGCGUUGAAAUUUCAACGCGUAUUGCACAAGAGCGCCCUCCUAAUUCAUGGCUUUAUCAUCAACAUUGGGGUGGGGCUCAGAUUUUGAUGGCAGUGGUGCCUCUGCUGGUGGUGGGUGGUGGUGGCCCACCUGAGCUACGGUGGCACACGGUGGGCGACGACUAGGGCACUCUCGUAAUUCUAUCCCUUUUGCCUCCCCCUUUUUUCUUUUUUUCUUUUUCCUAAUUUAUUUACUCAUUUCCAUUAAAACAAAAUAAAUAAUAAAUAAAAUAAAAAAUAAAAAAUUAGGUGUUUCCUUUUCUUAGAUGUUGAUGUGAUGUAUCUCCCUCACGGCUUUUGUGUGUCCUGUUGUGCAAUAAAAUUAAAAAUAAAACCCCCAAAAAAAAAAAAAAAAAGUAGAGCUAGAGAGAGAAUGAGAGUGGAGUUUUUACUUUUUAGAGAGAGAAGGUGGAGGGUUUAGAGAGAGAGAGAGAGGGACAGGAUUUUACAAUGGGAGGAAAAAAAGGGGCAAGUGACAAACAGCGGGGAGGAGUUUAUGAGUUGUAAAGGCUCCACGUGCGGCACGUGUGGAGGAACCCGAGAUCUGGGCGAUUUAUCGCGAUAAAUUGAAGAGGAAAUAGACAAAGUGACGGUGAUUGAUUCUUUCUUUGCAUUUUUGGAACGCCUUCACUUUUACGUGCAUUAAAAGACAAGGAAAGUCUUGGGUGUGAGUGCUCACUGCUCACGCCCCUUCCCCUUGGACCACCACACCCCCACCCCAUCAUCCUACAAAUUUUAAUCAUCCCAUAAUGUAGCAGUGACGCACCAUCGUUGUUAAUUAUUUUACCUAUCUUACGUAACGUCAAAAGGAUAUUUGAUAAAAAUAAAAAAAAAAUUAAAAAAAAAAAGUCCAAGGGACAUGAAAGAUCAUGGUAAAGGUUUUUCCAUACAAGAAGGCCAAGUAACCGUUGGCAAUACCUUUUGAUUUUCAGCAACGGUGGGCUCUUCAGAGUAAAGCUUUUAUACUGACUUUAUACCUAACACAGCACAUUCCAGCCCUUUACUUGACCUUUUCAAACAGCUUACAUACAAAAUAUGCAAUUUUCUACACUGGGUUGUUCUACAAAGUCCGAAAAGGAUUGAGCAGCUGAUUUGCAUUCGGGUUGUUCUUUAGACCGAGACAGAUAGUAUUUUCCAAGGCAAAAAGGCUUUACUGUGAAGAGACGGUGACAAGUAUUUAAAUAGUAGGCAAGUGGGGUGGUUUUUGGAUGGCCUUUUUUCCAUUAAUAUUUUGUAUUGAAUGGAGGGUCUGUGUGUCUAUUCAUAAGUCGGUGAAUAAACCGUACCAUGGUGUGGUGAGUGGUCUCAUGCCUCAGUGACAUCAAUGCACUCUCUCAUGCCCCCUGCAGAGGUUAAUAACUGUACUGAAUCCGUCCAUAUCCACCAUCUGAUCUAUAUACUAUGGGUUUCCACUGAUUGGAUGGGAAUGGGGGGUGGGGGGUGGUCUAUUGUUGUUUUCAGUGGUCCUGACUCCACCUGAUGGUGUGGAGUGGGUACAUUGAUGGUAACAAACUAGGGAAGGGCAUUAUCAGUUUGAUUGAAACCAAUCACAUUUGUAGUCUGUGGUCUACCUGCCUUUUGGGGUAUGGACUCUCAUUGAAUCUGAUGAAGUAGUUGGAGACUUUAUGUCUAUUAUCUUAAUGGCACUAAUUAAUUGGCAUCUGGGGUUGGUAAAAUUGUAACUUUUUGGGGCAUGGCUGUAUGAUAGAAACCAUAGAAUCAUUGUGUGAUGGGGUGGUAACAUUUAUUUUAAUGUUUUUUGACAUGCAUUAAAGUAAAUUAGCAAAAAACAAUUCAUGGGUUUUUGAAUUCUCACCCGAUGAGAUAUUGGGCAUAUUCCCAUUUUUGUCCCAAUUAGAAUCCUCACAUUGGAUUACAGUUGUUUACAAAAAUCAGACUUAUUUUUGUUCUCAGAGGUAGAUUUUUCAACCACAUAUUUCUUCAAAUUGGGAAAAUCUAAAACAGAAUUAUAGCUCAUUUUUUUCCAAAAAUAAAAAAAUAAAAUAUCAUUAUUAUACAAAAACCAGUUUAGGAAUAAUCUAAGUUUUCAAAAAAACAAAUUAUUUUUGUAAACCUUUCCAAAUUAAUAACUAUUUUUUAAAAUAAUUAUAAAAAAUAGUUUUUGGAAACAAUUUUUUAAAACUGUUAUUAAAAUAUGUUUGAAAACUUAAAAUGUUUUUAACUUAUUUUUAAUCAUUUUAAAUAUUUAUAUAUUUAUUUUUUAAAAUACCUCUAAAAAAAAGGUAAAAAUAACUAAAGUGUAUUAUUUAAAAAUAUUGUAUUUUUUAUUUUUAAGAAUAAAAAAUAAAACAUAAUUUUUAAUUAUUAAACAAAUUUUUCAUAUUGUUAUUUUAAAGAAUAGAAAACUGUUUUAAAUAUCGAGGUUGUUGUGAUUGCAUGACUGCUUGGUUAAAUUGUGGCUGCUAAAUUUGCAAAUGAUCAUGAUUAAUAUCUUAAUCGUGUGUAGGAAGCUGUCGCCUGUACAAGAGGUGAGAGUGAGACAGUGAUGAAAAUACGAGUUUUAGUUUUGAUGAAUGACAAAUCCCUCCCAUUUUCAUCACUGCCCUUCACCUUUUUCUAUGCAAACACUUGGUCCAAUAGAAAAGGUGAAAUCAAUAAUAAAAGGGUUGAAAAAGCAAAAGCAGAAGGAGAUCAAUAAUUGCCAGCAAGGUGGAUUGGGCAUCAGAUCUCUUAUAUGCAACUCAACCUCUACUUCUCCAAUUGCCCCCCUCCUUUUCAAGGGCAUGGUCCUAUCACCUAUGUGGGUCACUCUCCCUUUACUUCCAUCAUGCCCAAAAUCCUUUCCCUCUAGGCUCUAUGAUGCCCAAUAACUUAAGUAGAAGUUCACCUUUAUUAUUUUUGGGCAUUAUUGGUACUAACUAUAUGUUGUAGUUACAAGCCAUUCUAUUUAUGGUAACAUUCUUUUUUAUCACCCUUCCAUCUUAAUCCAACUCAAAUUAACCUAUCAAUUAUUUUGUGGUUUCAUUUUAUCUUAUUUUUGAGAAAUCUAAAACUUAUUCUUACGUUUUAUGCAGAUUUUUAUAUCCGUUUAACUAAUCUUAUUUAAAUUAAUUUACGAUUUAAGUCAAAAUCCGAAACUAUCCCAAAUGAGACGUGAGUAUUAUUUUAUUAUUCUAUAUUACGGGAUAAUUAAUUUUGCGGGUUUUAAUAAAAUUUUAAAUUGUUUACAAAUGAAAUUUAGUUGAACGAAAGGCAUGUGAAGAGCAUCCUUGGAUGUUAAUAGUAUACAAAGAAGGAGUUGAUUGACUGCUAAUACCAAUGAUCUUAACUUGCCUUUUGCAUUGGGCGGUCGGCUGCCAUCAUUAACUAAUGAUCUAUGAUUGAGUAUAUUCCAAUACUGUACACGUGUCCUCCAUCCGCUGCACUUCUACAAAAGUGGACGGUUCUCAAGUACCCAGGAGCAAUUUUUUAAUUAGCACUCGCUUUACCAAAUCUGCCGCAUCUUUUCCCAAACACCAGGGUUUGGCUUCGUAAACAAGACUCAGCAACCAAAUUAAAAAUAAGUGAGUGAAACCCUGAAGUACGACGACACGUGGGAUCACAGCUGGAGUAGCAAUCAUGCCUUCCACUGGGUAGUGUGAUAUGCCACGUUGGCAAAAAGUGGGUGUCCCAGAAAACGUGUAAUGAUGGUGGAUUAUAUUGGAAAAGCAACUUUUCCACGUGGCAUGGCACGCCACGUCGAUAGCGUAGAGGGCUUUAUUACAACUGGAAGACAUCUGGCACGCGUUUUUGUUGUAAAUUGUCUGGCAGAAGUGGGCCACGUGGUGCCAGAGUAGGUCCACAGACAGCUCAGCGACUGGGAUUGUCGGUCGCUUUCGCUAGCUGUAAAUCAUCAUAAGCGGAGAAGCGUCCGUAUGCGGAUGACGUCAUUAUUAGAAACGAUUUUAUAGAAAUGAAAGUAAUUUUUGUUGGGUGGUGGGUGAGAUUUUUGAAUGAAAGUUCGAGAAAGUAGGGAGGGAGAGAGAAAGGAAAAAAAAAGUUUAAAAAAAGGCGGGACAGCGUGGCGGGCAUUUUGUGGAGGAGGUGGUGUUUGGGGAGUAAUAGAAUAUGGGGCUGUUUGGCUAAUAGGAUAGGAGUUCGGCUACGUGUAUGGAUCUGAUUGGCUAAUCCUGACAGAGAAAAUUUUGCCUAGUGAGAGAUGAUCUCGGGAAAGCAAAUAUAUUUGUUCGAGAAAUAUUAAAUUUUUAAUUCAUUUGCAAUAAAUUCAAUAGCAUAUGAUAUGAAAUAUUUACAUUCCAUAAACAAAUUUUCCCUUAUUUUGAUUUAGAUUUUUUUUUUAAGGUAUGGUAUCGGUAUAUUAAUACUAGAUUUUCUCAUAUAGAAAUAGAAUAAUAUGAAUAACUAUGAUAUCCCUCAUAGUUUCAACGGGAAAGUUCUCAAAAUUGUUUUUUAAAACUGUGAUAAUUUUGGAUUAAAAGUAAAUAAUAUCUAUACGAUUGGAUGUGAGUUACGAUAUUAUAUUUUUAUUUUUUGAUACGUGGAUUAUACACACGUUUUAAAAUAGCAAAGCCAUAUAGUCGGUGUAUUAUUUAAUAUUUGGAUAUUUUAUAAUUGUUAAUAAUUUUAUAGUUUUCACAUACGUGUUCCCAAUUUUAAAUAUUAAAACUCGUUUUAGGAAAAAAAAAUUUAAUUUCUAUAUCACAAAUAAUAAAAAUUAAUUUAAUUUACCAUGUUUGAGUUUUUACAUAAGCCCGUCUAAUUCCAUUAAUUCAUUUGUUUGAAAUUUUAUUAAAUACAUUUUAUGUCAUUAUUUUCUUUAGUUAGUUUUAUCGCUCAAGAUACAUGAGUUAUUUUAUAAAAUUUUAACGGAUGAGGAUUAAAUGUAUUUAACAAAAUCUUGAAAAUAAAUGAAUGAAAUUAAUCAUAAAUAAUAAUGCCUCCCUUUUCCAUACAUUUUUUUAGAAAAUCACUUAAUUAAAAAAAUACAUCUAUAUUAAUUAUCAAAUAAUCUUUAAUGUAAAAGUGAAUUUAGGUGAGAUUACUCAAUAUAAAUGUUUAUAGUAUGAUAUACAUAUUUGAACUCAAAUCCUAUAAAUUUUAAGUUUUUCGAAAAAUUGAUAAUUCAAUAUGAUAUCAGAGUUUUGUAUGAUAUGAGAUUGUAAACUCAAGCCCCUUCUCCACAAUUUGUAUGUUCGCUUCCCAGUCUAUUCCUCCUCUCCCCCCUACCUAAUUUGCAAUUCCGUGGUAUAACUCAACUCAGAGAUAAUGGAGAAAAUCUAUCACUACUGUGGCUAUUCAUAUUCAUCAGUCCAAUAUAACUCCAAAAGAGGUCAUUUUCAAUGUCUAUAUAAUACCAUGUUGCAUGUAGAUAUGAAGAUGAAUUGGUAACUGCUAGAAUCCAAUGUGUUGCAAAUUGCACUUCAAUUAUUGUUUCUGGAUUUGCUAAUUGCAAAGCUGUCUUCAUUUAUUUGAUGCUUAUCAUUAUUUUUUAACCUAUUGGUAAAAUAUAGGUGGCAAAUUUGUUAGGACGGUGGAAUUUGUACAUUAUGAUUUGAUUAUUAAUGUAAAAUAAGAUUUUUGGGUUGUCUUCUACUAUGGUCAAAAAUCUUGAUUAGUUAUUUUGCAUAUCAAUUUUUUCAACUUAAGUCGUAAAUGAAAUUAUGAAUAUGAAAACCAUUUUUUUUUUUACAGCAAAAGAACUUUGACCUUCAUUUUAACGAAGAAAAAAAAAACUAAGAGAAAUGUUUUUCUAUUGUCUUAUGGAGAGAGAUAAAAAAAAUAAGAAAAAACAUGGUUUUUUUUUUUUUUUUGGUCUUUAGAGAGAUUUUUUCACAGAAAAAGAAAAAGAAAAACUUUUCUUUUAAUAGUAUCAUGCUCUUUGAAAGUUUUAAACUUCAAAACACAGCUCCCUCGUUUUUUCAUUUUCUUAUUUAUUGGGUUAAAUCAGGUCAACCCAUUUGGGUGCCUAAUCCUAACUCCAACCGUUAUCAUAAAUAAGUGUUUCAAUUAUUCAUUUAUCAUUAAUUUACUUUUCUAACGAAUGAUAAAACUUCUUUAAACUUUCAAUAACCUGACUAAAAUGGCAUCGGACAACUUACAUUUAAUCUAUAUCAUGGAACGGUUUCGUACAAAAAUUACUUGGCAUUAAUGCUUAAUCACAUUGGAGGGCUAACCUAUUUUGUUUGAUACAUUGGACACACUUCAAUUAUUUAUACAGGCAAAUAAAACAAAAUUGUUCAUAAUUUUAUUCCUACUUGCAAAAAUGAGACAACCAAGUAGCCCUUAAAAUACUAACAAGCAUAAUUUGUAGAUUCUUAAGAAUGUAGGAGGCAUACUGAAUAUUGAAUACAUCUUUCAUAUUUUCAAUCAAUUGACUACCUUGUCUUAUAUCCAUAUCUCACAUUCAUAGGGUGGAUUAGAUUUAGUCCACUGAAAAUGAUGAUCACAAAAGUUUAUUAAAACAAAUGUGAGAUUGUGAUGUGAUUGAUACAAUUAUUUUUAUUAAAAAAAAGGGUCAAUUGUAUGAUUCAAAACAUCCAUACAUAUAUUUAAUUAAUUAAUUAUUAUUAUUUAUAAUUCAUGACCUCGAUUUUCCACUAAAGGAGUGGGUGGAAUUCUUGACAACCACUAAAAUAUGUGGGCAAGUUGUACUUUUUAUAUUUAUUUAUUAUUGUUAUUCAUUUUGUCAAUCCUUGAAUUGAUUAAGUCUAUGUUAUGGGAAAGUGCCAAUUUCUCUCUCCACGUGCAUAGCAUAUGACUAAUUUAUUAAAUUAGUGAAGCUUGAGAUCAACCUGCAGCUGCAUAAGGUAGGGAGAUUACAACUUUUGGUUCGAGGAAAUCAAGGAAACCUUUGAAGGAUUGAUAGAAAAGGGUUUGGUAUUAAUCAUUUGUGUAGCUUCUAUGCUUGAUGCUACUACUCCUAUUCAACCAUUAAUAUAUGGUUUUAAUUUUUUGUACUUAAAAUAGUAUUAAUUUGAGAAUGAAAGCUACUUUAUUGGUAUAAUUUGUAAGGAUUUGCGAUUAAUUUAAACAUAGCCGCUCGUAACCCACCAUAGAACCCUUUUUUAUUUUUUUUUCAAAUUCUUUAUUUGUGAAACUAUUUCAUUGAAAACAAGUUUUAUAAAAUUCAAUAUGGUUUUUGGGAUUUCUCAUCUGAUCGCUCCCGUUAAGCCAAGUUUGAGUAGGUGAUUAUGUUAUUAGAAUUCUUAGGUUUAGGACCGACAAGAGAUCCUCGUGAGUCAAGCUAAAAGCGGUAAGAUGUUAUUUAAAUUGACUUUUGAGAAUUAAAAAUUAUUUUUUAAAUUUAAUAAGAAUUUUUAUGUUUAUUUUGUUAUUUUUAUUUAAAACACUUAGUAGAAACUUAAUUUUAGGUUAUAAAAAAAGCCCUUCUAUAUUUGAUAAAAUCUUUAUAAUACCAAUACCAAAAUUUCAAAAUUAUCUUUUACCUUGUGAUGAAAGCCCAAAAAAAAAAAAGGAGUAAUGCCAUGUGAGGCAUAAGAGGCCUUAGCCCACACCCCACCAUUUACAAAGACAACAAAACCUUGGACCUGGGCCUCGGAGCACAGGCCCAAUGGGAGAAGAAUGGGUGGUCCUCUAUGAAUUUGUACGUUACAAUACUUCAUAUAUGGACUUGAAUGAUGUUCUUAAUUGCUGGAUUUUUUUAAAGAUAAAUGGGAUGGGAUAGUCUCAACAUCAUCAACUUCAAAUCAAUAUUUGUUGAUUCAUUUUCCUUUUUCAGCCUCUUGAAUCCCCAUGCACGUAACGGAUGUUGCUCUCACGAUUUCUCACUAUAUAUACAAACCACAGCAUACAUGCUUCCGCACUCGAUCGACAUGGCUCUGAUGCUGAAGCUCUUUCUUUUCACUCUUCUCUCUGCAUGGAGCCUGGGAUCCAUGGCUUCCGCACGGUACCUGGACAAGAGCUUCAGCCUUGCUGCUCGAUUACAUGCGGACGACGACUCAUCAUCCAAGUGCUGGGAGUCUUUGCUUGAGCUUCAGGCAUGCACUGGAGAGGUUGUCCUGUUCUUCCUCAAUGGUGAGACUCACCUUGGGGCCGGCUGUUGCCAAGCCAUUCAGACCAUUGAGCACCAAUGCUGGCCUGCCAUGCUUACUUCCAUUGGUUUCACUGCCGAGGAGGGCGACAUCCUCCAAGGUUACUGUGAUGCAACCACAUCCUCUUCGGCUCCCCCACCACCACCACCACCACCAUCCAUGGAGCCUAAUGACGUGGUUACCUUGGGUGGCUUUUUCCUCGAUCCUUAGUAGAACGCGUUCUUACUAGCAGUUAUGUCUUUUACAUAUAUCUGAUCCGCUAGUCUAAAUAUAUACAGAAAAGGGUGUUUGGAAUUAAUGAAUGAUUUCCUAUAUAUUGCCCCAUAUUUGUUGCAAUUAAAUUCCAUUUCUUGCUUGAAAAAAAGGUAUAAUAAUUUCCCAUCAUUGAUAGCACUAGUAGUUGUCUUUUAUGGGCUGGACGAGACACACAGAUCGACCCACAAUUCUGCUUACCCAGCCCAUGCUCAGUGGUUUGGACUAACAUAAUUGGAGGCCCAAAAGGGAUAUCAAUAAUAAGAUAAUGUUUGGAAGAUGAGUCUAUUUUUGUAUCUAGAUAAGACCAACUCAUCCCCCUCUAAUUAAUGGAGAGGUAACGGCGUGAAGGGCAAGAUUCUCAAGGACUCAAAAGCCUUUUUGCUUUGAUUUUCCAUCAAGGCAUCAGUGCCAUACACAUAAGUCCAUAAGGUAAUGAAUAAGGAGCGUCAAAUCAGGGUGGGAUGCGAAUAUGCGGAUUGAAAGCCAAGUAUUGAUUUUAGUGGUAUGAGGUGGGUCGUGUAUGGAUGGUGACAUCUAACUAUAAGUCUCUCAAAAGACUUCAAACUUCCCCCCAUCUCCGCCUUCUUUCAUGCUCUUUCCACUCUUCUUUUAACGUAGUAAUUUUUUUUCCCUUUGGGUAAUUAGGAUCUAAGCAUGGAAGAAGAGAAUAUUCGGAUGAGUGUUUCAAGAGUUCUUGGCUUUCUACACAUUGUUACUUCAUUUUCAAGCUGAGGAAUCAAUUGGUCAUUUGUUAUGUGCUUGUUUGUGAUCAUUGGGAAGCAGAUUUAGGGUUUUGAAAGGUCAAAUGCUAAUCAACAGAAGAAGAAAUUUACACCCCAUGCCAACAUAAAGAGAUAAUUGUGGUUAGGAUAGAUUUCAUAUAAUUAACUUCAACUAACUUCUCAUGACCUGCCAUUCCUAGUCAUCAUUCAGUUAGUUAUUUCCUUGCUAUGCCCAUGAUCGAUGCAUCGACCGUUUGCCACUUGUUUUCAUCCAAAAACCUGUCAUUUUCUCUCCGAUCUCGAUCCACUAGAAUGGAUCAAACUGGAUUCUUUCUUCCUCUGGAAUAAUGUAAAGCUAGACUAAAAUUUUAUACAUUCCUCUAUUGGUUGAUGGUUUAUUAAUGGUGAGAUAUCUUGUACAAAUUGAAUCAUCAAGGUCAUUGGAGUGGUGUCCUUGUUGACUAAUUAAUGGGUCCAUGUUUCAUGAUCAUAAGGCCAUCUUGCAUGAUUCAAAUAUACCCUAUUGAAAUGGUAUACAUACACAUGCACAUUGUUCAAAAACGCCCUAGAAAAAGGAAAGGAGGAUAAAAAGAAAUACAAGUCGUCCACUAGUGCCAUAUGUGGAAAAGUAGUGAGCAUACAGAUCUCAACUCCCCUAGAGAAAAUUGUCCUCGUAUGGAACCUCAACAAUGAAUUCUAGAGAAAGCUGUCAAGUGAUCACAGUCCAGAUGAAUCUUGAUUUAGAAGUUAGAAAAAUGAAGGGUUGUUAGGUUAGGGUAGUUAGUCAAUGGCACAAAGAUGUUAUCUUAAAAGUUGUGGAGGAGAGGAGAGGAGAGGAGAGAGUCAGAAAAAAGAAUGAACCUAUCAGAAGAAAGUAAGAAACAUCAAACUAUAAUCUUAUUAACAUGGAACGAUAAUCAUGAUAAAGCCACACAACAAGGGUUUCACAAGGACACACAGAGAGACCCAGGAAACAAGACACAAACUCAUCCAACAUAGCUCAGACAUAGAAAUUAUUUAGCAUAGUUGCUCACUGGCAAUUGUAAAUCUAAUUACACAACAAGCACACAUGCAUGCGUCUAGAAAAGAUGGUGAUGCUUCUUUCCAUGAGCCUCUUCAUCUUCUUCCUUGGCUUCUUUCUUCUCGUGAUGCUCGUGGAACGCGAACCCGCCAGCUCCCACUGCAGCAGCCGCGGCAAUCUCUUCUUCUAUCUUGUGCUUGUGGGCAUGCUCAGGGUCUUUCUCCGACUUGUGCUUCUCAUGCUAUAAUUCAAGCAUCAUCAAGACGAUAAGAAAUAGUUCCUUUGUAUAAAAUUAAUUAAAACAAAAAUAUUUUCAAACUUCAUGACACACGGGGCAUUACCAAGGCGUAAGCGCCAGCAGCAGCGACGCCGAGCUCGCCGAGGUGCUCGAGAUGCUUGUGGUGCUUCUCCUCCUUCCUGUAGUCAGGGCCUGGGUCAUCUGCUAACACUUCGGUGGUUUCGGCAGCGUAGCCGCUGACACCAUCGGUAGCAUAGCUGGUGUCGGAGUAGGUGGUGUCGGAGUAGGGAACGGCGUCGUCAACAGGCUUGUCCUUGUGGUGGAAGAGGUGGUGGUGAUGCUUCUCCUCCGACAUGGUGGUGGUGAUCAAAUUAGCUGCAGAAACGAGAGAGGAAGAUGGUUUGUGAACUGUGAAGGUGUGAUGUGGGAGAGUGCAGUGGUGGGUGGUGGGGUAUUUAUAAAUGCUGGUUGCGAAGGUGUCCAAAGAUCGUGGGAGAGAUGAAUGGGUAUUGGGAAUGGCCCGAAUGGGUGGGGCCUCACCAUUCACCAUUCUUAUCUACAUUUUUCAAAUCUCGAUGGCUCCUACUCUGUCGAUACUUUGUUUUUGUGUCGGCAAUUUCAUUGGAUCUUUAACCACGACAUUUUUUAACCACAUUUUUAGAUUUCCGUGAUAUUAUCAUAAUUGUUUUUGUUAGUCAUUCGUUGGAUUUAUUUCAAAAGUAGGAAAAUGUUUGAAAAAUAUACAUCAUCAUUUGCGUCUUUGAUCCACUCUCAAUAGGAAAUAAAUAAAUAAGAAAAGAAAACCACAAAGUCUCAGGUAGCAAAGAGUCCAUAUCAAAGUAUCAAACCUUUUUAUCGAUGAAUAUUUUUAGGAAGAACAAUCUAUUAUUUGUAAAAUAAUUUUUAUAUAUUGAGUGAUAACCCUUCAAUUCGAUAUCGUUAGAUCAUUAAGGUCGGCUUUUGUCCCUAUUCGACGGGUGGAUCUUGUAGUCAAACUCCCUUUUACCUUUGCACUCAAGGUCCAUCUUUGUUUUGCUUGAGAAAACCUUUGUUAAUUUCCAUUACCUUUUGAGAGACUUACGCUCUAUAAAAAUUAUUUAUCUAUUCCUUGACGAGGAAAUUCAAAUUCUUUUACUUAAAUUUAUUUUAUAAAACAUUAAAAAAGGUUAAAUAUAAUAAAAUUAUUAAAAAUUUGAAUUUAAGAAAUCAUUUAUUUUUUAAAUUUUGACAUGAACAUAUAUGGGUAAAAAACAAAAAGAGACAAAAACAAAAUAUGUUUUUUUGUGCAGUAAUCAAUUAAAAAAUCACUUUCAAUUUAAUAAAAGAUGUAAUUUUUAAUAUUAAAGCUUAGAGAAAAAAGAAUUGACUUGAUUGGAAUGAAUUACAAAAAUCACACCCCAAUGAAGAGGAACCCCAUACAGCACCUCCUUUCCUUUUCAUAAAGCAAAGACCUUUCAUCAGUAGGCAUGUGAAGGAGGGAAAUGAACUUGGCAGAUUCCACCUUAAAGUGCUAAAACAUGGCACUUGCCCCUCUUUCUAAUCAAACUUAACCCCACCUACAUUAUCUACAUUAUUUAUUGUACAUUAUCUUUCUCCAACUAAUACUAGUAUUUCACAUCUCACAAUUUUUUUAUUCUAUUGGAUGUGAGUCUAUUAUUGCAGUUAGGUCAGCUAAUCAGGAUCCCAUGGAUAAGGUGCCACAUAUUAAUAUUUUAGCCUUUUAGGUGUUGCUAUUCAUCCUCCUUUAUGACUUGGGCUCCAUUUCUUUGCUUGAACCUCACUUUUAGGGUAAUUUCUUUUCUUGGACUAUUAGUUUAUUUGUUGCACAUAAAAAGGCCACUUUAAUGGCCGUCAAACUUUGAUAAAAUAUGUCUUAUUUUGUACUUUAAGGUGGUGUUUAUUUUUUAAUUGAAUAAAAAAAAAAUAAAAAUAUUUGAUUUUUUCUAUUUAAUUAAAAGUAAUUUGUUGAGAUCGUUCAAUGUAACUAAAAUGAACUUGUUAUCAAUAAAUUUACUUUAGUUAUGUUAGACAAUAUUAAUAGGUUACUUUUAAUUGAAUAGAAAUAAAAGUCAUUUUAAUUAUAUUGGACAAUAUUAACAAGUUAUUUUUAGUUGAAUAGAAAAAACUAAAUAUUUUAAUUUUUUUUAUUCAGUCAAAAAACAAACAUCACCUAUAAAAAUUGAUAACUUUUAUAUAUUUGUACUAUGGUAGAUGGGCUUGGCCCACUUGGGCGUAGGGUAGAUAUUUGAAUUUUGAACAGAAAAAAAAAAAAGGGAAAAAAGGAAAAAAGGAAAGGGGAAAGAGAAGGAGAAGAUAAAUCAAUAAAUCAUAAAAGCAGGAAGGAGAGGUGGAAAAUGGUCCUCUGGUCUGGACCAGGAGAAAGUGGCCGGUGAUGGGGCCCAUUGGGUCUGUGUCGGCAAGGCCCCAUUUAUUUCGGCAUCAAUAUACCUGCCUGAUUGGUUCCAUGCCUGCCAUAUGUUUACGCUUUUGUCAAUUAUUAUAAAAAACAACUUCUUUGUCAAUAAACUCUUUAAUUUUUACUUCUCUAUCGUCUUUAAUGGGUGUGAAAAAAGUCAUACAUGCCUAUUGUAUUCUUCUCCUUUUUAGUAGGUAAAAACCUACAGGCUAUCCCUAAACUGAAUUUUAUAAUAUUUCAGAAAAUAUGAAAUUUAUUUUUAAUUAAUAAAAAUUUGGAUUAAAUAUCAAUCAUAAUUUCAUAACUGAUAUGGCCGGUGAUAAAGAACGAGUGAGUCACGCUAGGGCCACGGAUGUAUCACAUUCAUGGUGUGCCUGGGCUUAGUGGUUGAUGUGAAAUAGAUAUAGGUGUAGCGCAUAGUGUAAACGGGCCCAGGGAAAUUCAAAAUCGCGUUGCCACGUUCCAUAGAAAGGACAAGAAAUUAGAAGCUGGGAGUGGUCCACGUCUUCCAGGUAACCCCCACGCUGCUAACGAUUAUUCAAUGCCUUCCUACUCCAAAUCAAACCUAAUGUUCAACAUCGACAUGUCUCAUAUGACACAUCCUUAUAGAUGAAGUUGGUGAACUGUGGAGAAGAGAGAGUAAGGGCGUGUGAGCGGAGAUAAUUCACAAUUGAUUGGCAGGUUUCGGAUAUUUUCUUCGGCUUUGUCCUGGGUUUUUGGAAAGGUUUGAUUGGCCCGACCCAAUCCUACAACCCAUACUAAACCACACAAUCGAAUCCUACGAGAGACCAAACCCAACCUUAAAUCAAGUUCCUCAUUAUGGGCUUCAUAGCCCAACUUAGCACUCCAGCCCAUCCUAACAUUGGGAAAAAUAAAUUAAUGAAAAUUAAGACUAGAUAUGAAUAAUUUCUUUUAUUAUCUUAAACUGCUGAAAGGGAUUAGUUAUCCUACACAGCUUGAACAGAAAAAGAGCCCUCUAAAACUCACCUACUUGAGAUUUAAGGCAUAAAAAAGUCCUUACCUUAAUAAUUGUAAGAGAUCGUUGGAUCAAAUGAUUCAAAUCUGGGACUUGCUCACACAAUCAAUCCAUUUCAUGAGACGAAUUACCAGUGAGGCUCUCUUCACCAUCUACAAGAUUUCGGAUGUAGCGAGUCAAGUAAGAACUUGGACCAUAGCAAAUGCUUGAUAAAAACCCUCCAUACAGUAAGCAAUGGAUGCCAAGCUUAAACAGAUUUUUCCUCUCUUGGUUGGUGUCUCUCUGUGCUUCAUACCCACCAGUACUUUCUUCAUCCCAACUCGAAGAAUCCAUGGCAGUGCAGCCUGAAUGAGCCUGAAAACCCCAGAUCUUGGAAGUUUCCAUCUUUUGCAGCCAGUUGGAAUCAAUGGGAUCUUUAAAUUUUUUACAAAGAUGGUGUCCCUGGAUCAGAAAACUCCAAACUUUUGGUGUAAUACUUGAGACACAGUUAAGGAACUGCUUAGAUAUGUUCUCCAAUCCUCCAUUAUGAGCUUGACUCCCAAAAAAAUUGGCCUCGAAUUCAUCUGCUAGUGAGCACUCAUUGCAUUUAUGACUCUGAAGAGACGAAAGAUUUAGAACAGGCAACCUCCCUUUCACAAAGGAAUUCAAUAGUGAGCUUCUAGCAAGACUUAAAAGGGACUCCCCAGCAUUCAUCCAGAAGUUUGCAAUUGAUGCGAUCAAAGAAGAGUCAGAGAGGAAAAUACGGUGGGUUGCACCUGCAAGCAACAAGGAGUAUGCUGCACUGGUCUUGAUCAAGCUCAAGGCUUCCAGCUCAUCUCCGUCCAUUUCAGAAUGCAGAUCCAGUAAUUGACUAGCACGGACUCUGUAUGCAGAAGCCAGUGUUGUGUAGGCGGCCAAAGAGAGAUGGUGCAGGGGGUGCAACUUGAAAUUUGCUUGUGAUUUUCCCUCAAUUGGUUCUAACUGCUCAUCUGGAAGACCUUGAGCAAUAACAUUCUCAAGCUUCUCACAGCAAGCUUCAGGGUUGCCAACUGACAAAUAGUCAGCUAUAGCAUCAUCUACAUAAUCAGUCAACUUUCUGAUUUCCUCCUCUCUACACAUGUUAUCAUCUAUGUAAUUGAGACUAUGAGCCAAAGUUUCCUAUAGGGAAGAACAGAGAAAUGUCAAUCCUUGUUUUAUGACAGUACUAGAAUUCAGGCACUUCAAUUGCAGAUUAAAAAAUGCUUGUGAAGUUCAGACUUCAGAGUUGAUACAGAAAUAUUGUGAGUACUUCACCGUACAAAGUGGCCCCCGAAAAAUAACCAGAGUGGACAAGGGAAAGGAUAAAACAGGAUGAGAAAAGCUACUAUGAAUUACUCAAUAGCUUUUCCUAGUUCCAAUUGAUAUGGAGAAAAAGACUCCAACUGUCUGUCAGCCUUUUGAGAAGGAAAAAGCAGAUGUAACUAAGGGAGACAACUUGAAGAAACAAAAGAUAUGAAAGGCAAAGAAGAAAAUAAAUAGCACACAUACAGAUUCUGGAUGCAGCUCUAAUUGCAAAUGACGCAGCUGACUCAAGGGAGAGAAGCUCUAGGGCUGGUUUAGUUUGCAAGUUGGACAUAUGUACUUUGGUGUGCCCCUUUUGGCAUUUUAAUACAAUUUGCACUUACCUAUCAAAAAAAAAAAAAAGUUUGCAAUUUGGACAUAGAAAAGGCUUAUGACCAUGUUGAUUGGAAUUUUCUCCUCCCAGUAACGAAAAAGAUGGAGUUUGGUCUAAAAUCGAGAAAGUGGAUUCAUUUUUCCAUUGUAAGGAUGUCAAUCUUAGUCAAUGUUUCUCCUUCAGAUUUCUUUCAGACAUCUAGAGGAUUGUGGCAGGGUGAUCCUCUCUCACCCUAUCUCUUCAUGAUUGUCAUGGAAGCUCUACAUUGUAUACUCUCAAGGGCUGACUAGGGAGUGUUCAUUCAUGGCUUCAAGGUCAGGGGCAGAAGGGGUGAAGGUUUCCAAGUAUUCCAUCUCCUGUUUAAGGAUGAUAGAAAAAUUUGGAUCAACUAAGAUACUGGAGGUGGAUUGUAAUAGGCUUCAAGGUUGUGUUAGGUCUGAAAAUAAACCUGUAAAAAAGUAACUCAUUCUAAUGGGGAAAGUGGAGGAUGUGGUGAGAUCAUCAUCUUUGCUUGGGUGUAAGAUUGGAAGGCUUCCCACUUCUUAUCAUGGUUUGCCCUUUGGAGUGCUUCAUAAGUAUUGCGUUGUAUGGGAUGCUGUCAAGGAAAUGUUUGGUAAAAGAUUGGCUUCUUGGAAGGUGUGGUAUUUGUCAAAAAGAGGAAGAUUAGUUCUUUCAAAGAGCACUUUCUCAAGCUUAUCAAUCUAUUUUAUGGCCUUUUUUUCUAUUUCCAGGAAAGUGAGGAUCAAAUCAUAAAGGAUUCAGAGAGACUUUUUGUAAGGAAAUCUUUGGUAAACCAAUAAGAUGCAUUNNNNNNNNNNNNNNNNNNNNNNNNNNNNNNNNNNNNNNNNNNNNNNNNNNNNNNNNNNNNNNNNNNNNNNNNNNNNNNNNNNNNNNNNNNNNNNNNNNNNAGGAAGAACAUCCAAAGAAAGUGCAGGGAACUGGUCAAGGGGUGGAACAUUUGUGAGGUGAGGGAGACUUCUGGUAUAAGCCUAUGGAAAGACUUAAGAAAAGGUUGGGAGGAAUUCAACCACAGGAUAGCUAUCCAAAUUAAAAAUGGUAGCCAGACAAAAUUUUAGAGGGAUGGGUGGGUGGGUGGGGGGGAACUGUUUGAAAGAAGCAUUUCCUCUAUUGUUUAGUCUAGCUUCUCAAAAGAAUGCCAUUGUUGCAAACAUGUGGGAUGGGAGAGGUAGUGGAGGCCAGUGGGUGCAUUUCAAAAGGCCAUUCCAAGAUUGGGAAAUGGAGGGGGUGUCCUAAUUUUUAGAACUUAUUUAUUCAUACAGCAAAAGUGCAAGAAGAAGGGAAAGAUAUCUUAGUUUGGAAGGAGGAUAGGAAGAGAAUCUUCAGUACUAAGUUGUACUACAGUUCAUUGUGUGCCGAAUUUAGAGUGGACUUCCCAACCAAAGAAAUUUGGGGGCUCCCAAGCUCUUACGAGAUCAUGUUUUCUCACUUGGGAAACAGUAUGGGAGAAGAUCUCAACCAUAGAUUUGUUAAUGAAGAGGGAUGGACAAUGUUAAUAGAUAUAGUCUUUGCAAAGAGAGUGAUGAGUCUGCUGAUCAAAUUUUCAUUCACUGUGCAAUGACAAAGGUAUUAUAGAUGUUUGUUUUAUCAAUUUUUAGUUAGAAAUAAGUUUCUAGCUACAGUGAGGAAUAUGCUUCUCAAGUGGAAGUUUUUAAGGUAUUGGACAAGAAGAGUCACCAUCUUUGACAAAUGACACCCCUCUGCUUAUUCUGGUGUAUAUGGAAAGAGGGAAACCAUAAAAUCUUUAAUGGGGAAGAGCUUGCAUAUUAGAGAUUAAAAGAGAGCUUUAUUAAAUCCCUCUUUGAUUGGUCCAAAGUUCUGUUAGAAAUGGGCAAUUCUGAAUGAUGGCUUUCGUAAAUGGUCUUAGUUGUGGAUAGUUUGGUUUUGAGUUGAGGUUGUUUUUUUAUUCGUUGUUUUGUUUUUUUUGUGUUUACUCCCAGUAUAUGUAAGGUAUGCCCCCUUUCAUUGGCAUGCUCUUUUAAUAUAUUAUCCUUUUGCUUAUCAAAAGAAAAAAAGAAAAAAGAAAAAAGAAAAAUAAAGAGAACACAUAAAUCAGGGGAAGGAUGAAGGAAUUAAACCAAUAGGAAUGAGAAACAGUUGGGUAUAUUUUUUCGACAGAUACUUCAUGCAGCAGGGGCAAGAUGGGGGAAAACCUUACCACUCCUGGUGCCAUAAAUGUGGCAUAUAUGCAUCGUGUUCUAACUCCACACCUAGUACUAUAAUUUUCACAGAAGACGAUCACCCUUCCCCACCCAGCAAAUCUAAAAUCAAGUUGCAAAAUGAAUCUUCUAGACUGCUUUCGGAUUUCUCCUAAACAUCAAAAUAAACAAAUGAUAGGCAUACUGUUCCAUAGAAGUCUUACUUGCAAAACAAGAUCCACAUAAGUAGGGGGCGAUGCAUUACAACGGUUACAGCAACAGGAAAACCAAUACUUCACCCAUAACUCUGCAUGUCUAAUUUCCUGGAAAAUCAAAUCAGUGCAAAUAAAAGCGUAUAACGUGAACUCAAAAAACUAAAAAAAAAACAGAGUAUAGAAGGAUGAGUUGGAACACAUUUUAGCACAAUGCCACUGAGUUCACUUACACUAUGGUGAUUAUGCAAGUAAUAUAAAAUCAUGCAACUUCUCAUUAGGUCGACUCCUUGUCAUUUUUCGCAAUCACUUCAAACAUAAGGCACAAUGCAAUAAUCUAAAAGCUUAAAAGUAAUAGCAGAUAUGCCAAAUUUACAAGCACAUUUUGCACAUUCAAUCUCUUAACAGUGGAACUGUAGAUACUGAAAAUGAAGAUUACCUUAGGCUGCAACAGGUCUAUGUAUGCAACCCACACCUCCUCACCCUUUUUAAUUGCCUUGAUGCUCCGAACGAUGAUUCUUGGCCCGUGUAUGUUGCAUCCUUUACUAGAGAAAAUCAAUUACAAGUAGAUAAUCAAAAUAUCCAAUAAAUUCACAACUGAUUUUUUUGAGAAACCAAAUUGAAAAAAACAUAAAAUAAUUAAAAUAAAAAAGAUUCAAUCACCUUCUAUUGAUUCACUUUUGCUACGAACAGCAUUCUGUAUCUGAAAAACAUUUCGGUUUCAUAAUUUUCAAAUCCUUUGAAUAUGGUUAAAAUUAAAGAAACAAUUCAGAAUUUAGGAAUAGUGAUCUAUUUUUCUUUACUUCAAUUUCAUCAUUGCCUCCAGGGAUAAUCUGGAGCCUCGACUCGCCAGAAAACUGGGGCGUCUCAGGUGAACGGAGCAAGAAACGGUAACAAGCAUUGGGAGAACAGCUGUGAUUGAUCCAAGAGAAGCACCAAUCGUAGACGGCUAUCCCUAGGGCGGACCCUCCAUUAACCUGCACUUCAACUGCAUUGGUGAGGACCAGGCAGAGCAGGGCCUCCUCCAGUUUGGAGUCCCCGGAGAAUUCCGUACCAUCUCGCAUACAUCGGGCAACGGCCAUGGCCUUGCCGCCGUCUCGGAUUCUCGUCAGAGUCUCAUCACUUUCCGAGUUGUGGGAGGGUGAGAUGAGGUGGUGGAGGUUGGUGAGUAGGCCGCAGAUUCGAUGGAGCGGUUGGGUAUGGAGGGGAGGGAGGUGGAGGAUGUGGAGGAGGCGGAGGGCAGCACGGAGGUCGGAGGAGUGAGCGGUGGAGGGGUGGGAAUGGCGGAGGAGGAGGAAGAGGUGGUGCUCGGCGCUGGAGAAGUGGAGGGGGGAGUCGGAGGCGGAGCAUGGUGGAGAGCAGUAGCAGAGAAAGGAGGAACUAGGGUUGGUAUUGACGAGAACAGUGGGCGGUAGAGGUGAGAAACAGGCGGAGCAGUGAGAGCGAAGGUGAGAGUCGUGGAGAGAGGAGGCUAGGGGUGGGAGUGGAUGGGUCAGGUCUAACCCCAUUUCUGUGUCCUCUCUCAUUCUCAUCUCCAUUCUUUACCAUACGGAUUGCAGGCAUUCUCAAUUCUAGUUCUUAAUACUGCUGCUCCCUUCUCCCCCUUCCUAAACCAUCCAUUUAGGAAAGCAGAAAUAUAACCACAGUUUAUUUACUUAUUUAUGAUGUUUCUAAUACACAACACCUGCAAAAAUUAAUGACAAAAUCUGUCCCAAUGGAAGGUAGACAAGAGCACAGACAUCUGAGCACAUAUUUACCAGCCUUAUCAUAUCAACAAACAAUAGUUGAAAUGCCAUUCUUCCUGAGAGUUUGGCCCCUUGAUCAAGACUGCCAUGAAGCAAACCCAUAAUUCAUUAGAGGAGGAUACCAUGUUUACUCUCAUUGGCAGUGGGCGGACCUGGGAAUGAGUCAAGUGACAGAACUCUGAAAACUUGCCUUGAGGAAAUCCCUCAACAAAUCCAAACAUUACUGGGUUGCCUUCAUAAUAAUUAUAAAGAAAACAAAUUCUUCCCAUUGAAUUUCCAGGACAAGUGCAACAGCUGUGCCAAUUUCCAACAGCUUAAACAAUUGAGUAAUCAAAAUUGUUUGUCUCUACAUCAACUGAUGGAGUCCACCGGACCAUGAUCAAAUUUCAUCAUAUUUUACAGAUAAAAUACCAGUUAUUUAGAAAAGCAUGGAUUGUGAUCUUCCUGUGCAGUUUUCCUUCAUCACAUCCCGUAUGCGACUUCAGUUGCUUCAUUACAUCAGUUUCUGAUUUCUAACUUGAACAACUGUAUUAACACCCAAAAGGAAAAAAAGGAACUAAGGGACUAUUUAACAGUUAAGACUAGAAGGGUUUUAGAAUUGAACUGGAAAGGGUUCAAAUAGAGGAAGAAGGAAGAAACUCACCAAAAGAACUAUUGUUUCACUUUUAGUGUGGUCUCAAUGCGCUGGAUGAGCUGAUCUGCAGUCAAAGCACCUUCCUGGAAUUCAUCAGACAGGAAUAGUAACAAAGAAAUUAGAACAUAAAAAAUAAAUAAACUAGUGGCAAUAUAACAACCAAAAGAAAAAUACAAUCAAAAGUACAGUGAAAACCAAGAUAAACAAUUGACUAAGGUGCCACUGUACAACCAGAGGCCCAACCAUGCAUUGUAUAAAUGCGGAAGAAAAUUCUGUAGACAUCAUCUCCUAUGCCAAGGAGAAAACCUUCAUUGGCUAAUCCCAUGAAAAAGUAUAAUUCAAUAGAGUCAAAGUGUGUGAAAACCAAGCCAGUGCUACAAGCAGGAAGCCUAAGAACUGAGUCAUUGCCAGUGUAAGCUUUGCCUGUAAGUAAAGAAGGCAGUUAACAAUCAUGUUACAGGGGCUGCCCAUUCACAGGCACGUGCAAGAUGAAAAUCAUGUGGGCAAUUCAUGACAAUUUCCCAAAAAGGUUUUUUUGUACAAGUGCAUACUAGAUACGAAUUCCACUUACAAAGCGAUCAUAUGGCUUCCCAUCUUUAAAUAUGAUGAAAGUAGGCAAUGCCUCUAUUCUGUACUUAUCAGCAAUGCUCGGGUAUUUCUCAGUAUCAAUUUUCACCACCUGGAUCUUGUCUUUCAGAGAAGCACCGACUUCGUUGAGGAUAGGAACCAUGAACUGACAAGGGCCACACCUGGAAACCAGUACUUCGUUACUUCUAGUUUUAUUUAGUUCCCUCAAUAUCUCAUAGAAAUAGAGACUCCUUAGAACAGCACACCCUCAAGGAAACACUUUAAUGAGGGACUGCCCUACUGAGUAGCAUGUCUUAUUGAUGGAAUAUAAUUUGGCUUAAAAACUCACAUUUUGCUGCCAAGACAGCUAAUUCAGGUUAUCAUCUAGCUUACAACAAAAUAACAAACCAUCUCAUAUCAUUUUCCUUCUAUUUAAAGAGCAAAGAAACGGUGGCAAGUAUGGGAUUUAUUUUAUUUCAUUUUUUUUUUUUAAAAAAAAAAAACUCACCAAGUUGCAUAGAAGUCUACCAGAACAGGUUUUUCAGAAUUUGCUAGCAAUUCAUCCAAGGAAGAAAAUGUUUGCUUCUUUGCUUCAACCUAAAGAAAUCACAACAAUGUGGAAGUUACCCAUUAAUUUAUAGACACAUUCAGAAUUUGGUAGUCCAACCAUGCUUAUCUAAAUAUGCCAAUAUAACAGAGUCAAUUAGGAAAAUGUCCCAAACUCCUAAGAUAUAAUAUUAACAUAAAAUGUUUGUUCAGAAUGCAGAGAAACAAAAACCAAGAUACCUGUAAUCUGACAUUACAAAAAAAUGAGUCAAUUUACUCUGAGUCAAUUUAAAUUGGAAUUUAUGAACAUUCCAAUAUACUUUACUCUGGGUAACAGGCAGUUAGUAAGCAUGUCAAAUCAAAUAUUUAAGCACCAGUUAGAUAUCUAGAUUACAACUUUUCAUGACUCUUUAACUUUGAAAUCAUAGCUUCCAACUUGGAAGGUUAACAGGCAAAGCAGUGCACAAUUAUAUGGUCACUAUGACACCUUGUUUCUAGAUUAACUACUAGUCUAUCAGAUGACAAUUGAGUGCUCGUAUGCAGCGAACAAUGGUAUAGAGCUAAAUAGCAGAUGAAGUACAUUAGCUGGUUUACAUUGUCAAAUUGGAAACUAUGGGUAUGUUUGGAAUUUGCUUUCAAAAACAGUUUUAUGUUUUUAAGAACAAAAAUAAAAUAAAAUAAAGGAAAACAUGUUUGACAAUCAGGAAACAAGAUGUUUUAUGAGAAUAUAUUUUAAUUGUUUUCAGUCGUUUUCACUUAAUUUUAAAUAUGUUUUAAAGGAUAAUCCUACAAAUAUGGAGAAUGAUUGAAAAUAAAGCACUACAACAAAAGUUAUUUUAAAAAACAUAGAAAUUAGGUUGACAACAUUUCAAGUUCCAAUGAAAUGUUUUCAAACAGACUUCCAUUCUAGAAAACAUUAAAAAACAAUUUUCAAAAACCAUUUUUCAAAACUGUUUUUGAAAACACUUCCAAAUAGAGUCUAUAUAACUCUAUUAUUUCCUUUUAUUUUUCUCUAUUAAGAAAACCAUGUGUUGUCUGUCUCUCAUUUACAUGACCUAACAUUUCUCCUCAACUCAAGCGUUCACACCCUCAAUUAAGCAACCCAAACGCACUUAAUCCCAAAGGUUGUGUUUGUGUUUGGCCCUCGCAACCAACAAAUGCAACGACAUGAAAAUGCUGAAAUUAACUUCAUUCUCACUAACCAAUCUUAAUUUUUCCAGGAAUGACUAUCCUCUAAACAAACAUAUGCGCAAUCAACAAGAAAAACGCACGAGAAAAUAAAAGGCGAAUCCUUGCAUCUAGCACAAAAUGUCUCCACCAACUGAUCCAACACACCACAACACAUUCCCAAAGCAGAAUAUACAAACACCGUUCACAAGAAUUCGGAAAAUUCCAAUAAAAAAAAUCCACAACAUUCUGAAUUUUAAUAAUAAUAAUAAUAAUCAUAAAAAAGGCACCGAAGCAAAACAAAUUACCACAGGAAGGGUUCGAGGCCUAGACGGGGAUGAAAUUCCGUUGUUGCCGAUUCGAAUAGGGCGGAGCUGCCUAGGAAACUGCAAGGGGGACGAUGAGAAGAGCUUGGAAGAAGGGGAGGAAGAAGAAAAGGCUAAAGGAGUGGGGCGUUGAGAAUUCAACGCACGAACUGUAGAGAAAGUGAGCGAGGUGGCCAUUGGAGAGAAACCCUAGAACCAGAUGUUUUGGAUAAAAAUGGAACUGGACCAGAAAAAUCUGCUGGGAAGGGAGGAGAAAAAGAAGUGCGGAGACGAAGAGAACAAGAAGAGAGAUGUUAAGGUGCGGAGGUAUAGUAGAAUAAUAAAUAGGAGGACCAGAUCCGCGGGUGUGGGAGUUUCACAGCUAUGAUCCGACGGCCAGCAUACAUUAUCACACUUGGAGAUCCCAGCAGCCAGAUGCGUGUACUCUCCAUUUUUUUAUUUUAUUUUCACGUGAACCCCAAGGGAAAAUGACUACUCCAAUAAUUUACAUUUUCUUUUACCAAAAAGAUUAAAAAUCGGAUUCAGUAUCCAGAAAGGAUAAAAGAUUUUAAAUAAUUCAAUAUAAAACAUAAUGAGAAAAUCUUUAUAGAAUCAAUCCAACCACGUUCUAGUAAGAAACACCAGUGGGGGCAAGAAGUGGAACUACCGGUAAGCCAACAAGAUCCUCUUCAAAUUCAUGCUACAUUUUAUUAGACCAAUGUCUAAGGCCAAAAAUGAAGACUACAUGUGAGGAAAACGGUUGAGUCUAAAUCCUACAAACUUAAGUUUUUUUAAAAAUCGAUUAUUCAAUGGAAUGAAGAUGUAAAUAAUAAAACAAUGAGACCGGACAUGGUAUAAAACAAUAGGAUCUAAAUGCAUGUAUGAUACGACCUGAUUGAUCAUGCUUUUUGAUAUCGAUUUGGUAAUGUAAGGGGACCUUUUUUAACAUUACGUGAGUUUGGUAAAGGAGGCUGACUUUAUGGGCUGGAUGAACACGUAUGACUGGAGAUGAGAGGAGCAGCAAUACAAUGUUGAUCAUCACUUUACGUAGGCUCCUGCAUGCCACAAUGUUGAUCGUCACUUUCCAGAACACUAAAACCAUUUCAGGGUUCAGAGAAAAUUCGUAAGAGUCCGCACUCAAAACAGCUCUCUUAACAAUAAACUUGAAACAUCAAAUAAUGUUAAAUUACAACGUGGAAGGUUGAUGUCGUGGCAGUAAGUUAUGGCCAAACCUCAUCCAUCACUAGUCAAUGUGAGUGCCAGAAAAACUACUGUAAGUGCAGAGAAUAUGGUUGCACAGGCAAAUACCCACAUCGCCCUGCUCCUCACCCUGCCACUACUAUGGCUUGCCGGGCUGCCCAUCUCGACCUCUUUUAGAAGCUCCCUCACCUCAUCCAUAUUUGAGUCUUUUGCAGCUUGGGUUAGUCUACCAUGAAUUUUAUCAAGCCUACUCAGCCUUUUACUUCGGGAUGCAUCCUUGGCUGACCAGAUAAAACCCGUCAUCUUCCACAGAAGAAUGCCCACAUAGAUGGCCACAACACAGUCCACAGUGUAAUGGUGGCGUUCCCGUAUUUCCCUUUGGGCACUGUGCAAUACAAACAGCCAUAUGACAGCCGAGCUGAAACCUCCAUAAGCUUCCUGCAAACAUUUUUUUUGACACAGAGAAAGACACAAAAUUUAGUAUUAUGCAUUUUAAGCCUCAGUGCUACUGAUCAAUAAAUGUCAAGAGGAGGGAUUGCAAGUGUUUAAUAAAUAUACCGUCCAAGCCAUAGCAGUCAGUACUGCUACAAGAAUGUGGCCACUGUAUAUGAGGUCAUUGCAUCCUCCUCCAGCUUUCUUUAGCAGAUUGUACCAUGACCCGUCAGUAGUAGUUGGUCGCAGGAAGUCUAUAAGGAAGCUCAUUGAACCCCAAUCAGGACGAAAGUCACCAAGGUAAUUUCCAACAUCAGCUGAGAAAGAGGAAGAGAAUUAUUAAACCCACCUCCCUGUAAAACAGGAACCCAUCUGUAGUAGUUCUUAGGGUAGAUCUAAUAAUGGAGAACAUAGAACUCAUGAAGGUUACAGAAUUUAACCCUUUUUCCAACAUUGAAAACUAAAGAAAACUCUCUCAGGGCUUCUGUACAUGUCAACAAUGAAUUUAGAUUUCCAGGAGAUUGGAUGUUGAUUGAAUUGAAGAUUCACUAAAAUCUUGUAAGCACCUUAGUUAUUCCAAACCCAAUAGGCAAGUAGAAGAUGCGAACCUAAGAAUUAAUAGGACUUAUAAAGAAAUUUCAUAGAGAAAAUUGAGAUGAAACAGUGAAUCUGGACAAUAUGAUUUUUGCCAUGGGUACUCUAGCAGUAAUCAAGCGAAUAUAGAGCUUAAAAUCCCUUUUUCUCGCCUCAAGGCUCCACUACAAAACCCCUUCAAAUGCAUUAAACCCAUAAAAUGAGAGGAAAUUAGUUGGGUACAAAACACAUACCAUAGGCUAUAUCACGUUCUAUUACUUGACGAAUAGCAGCUGGAUCCGAAGCAUAAGGGACAUAAUAUUUUUGAGCCCAAUGAUGUGGGUGUGCAGGAACUCUGAAGCGGGCAAAAGCACACCAAGGCCGGGCCGAUGGCAGAAUUGUAGAUACAAAAGUUAUGGCCCGAAGAAAUCGCCCUAUUGCCAUGGUGAACAUGUACCUAGCACCUAGCCCAAGGCCAGGAGCUUUUACAGAGUCGAAUAAUACUGAGAAAGCCAGCAUCAUGAACAGCAUCAAAAAAUGGUGCAAUCCAAUAAUAUGCGCUCUAAGUAUCUCAACCACCGUAGGAGGAAGUUUCUCAUUCAACGCCAGGAGAAACCACUGGCCAGUGUCAGGAAGGGGAGGAGUAUCACUGCCAGACAUGAAUAAGCCAAUUGAUUGUCUCAUUGCUCAACAUACAGUAAACACAAAGUUGAACUAGUGUUGAAAGAUUAUGAUAUUAUCUUGGUAGAAAUAUUCCUGAAAAUGGACUCAGCUGUUGAUAAAUAUCCAUGAAGCAUUCUGGAGGAUCAGAUCCACUAACAGAAACUAUCACGUCUAAUAGAUGUUUUCUGAUCCAGUUGCAAUGAGUUGAUAGCAUUUUCAGGUUAUAUCAAAUGAUUCUUUAAAGAAGAAAUUGCAGCAUCUGCAAUAAUUAAAUCUCUGUCUCUCUAUAGGGAUUUUCAGAUUCAGCUUGAAUAAUGAUCCUGAAAAAGAGGAAUCAUUGCAUCUGUAUGUAUUUAAAUCUCUCAGUCUCCUGAGAUGUUUUCAUAUCUAGUUCAAAUGACGCGUGACUUUAUUUUCAUGUUAUAUCAAAUAAUACUUUAAAAAAGGACCUUUUUUAUGGGCAAAAAGUGAUAUUAUCAACAGCGCAUAAUCAGAAGAGGGCACACCAAAGCUUCAAAAAAGGACUUGUUGCAUCCUAUGUAUUUAAAUCUCUCUUUCUGUGAGUGCGUGCAUCAACAUAUAAAGCAUUACCUAUGUUAAGGAAUCAACAUGAUACGAAUAAAAGUGUCCUUGUUAGGGAUGUUUGAAUAUAAUAACACUUAUGUACAUACAGCACAGUUAUAAAUUCUCUCCUUCUCUCUCUGUGUGUAUGUGAAAAUUUUCAAUCUUACCUACAUGCAACCUGACACCAAUACAAGUAUCCUCAUUGCUGAGUGGUUUGCAUAUGAUAAGAACAUUUAUGUGUGUGUAUAUAGUUAAGGGUUGGGCCCCAAUUUUAAUGAUGAUUUUUAGCAAGAAGACUUGAAAAUCAAUUUGAAACCCUUAGUUAGUGUAAUCGGUAGUCUUUUUGCAUAUAAGCAAAGUGAGGGCAUACUAUAUAAGAAUGAAAGACCUUACUUUAACUUAGGAGACCACAUUGAACCUUAAUUUUUACAUGAAAAUCUCUAAAGGUUUUCUAAAAAGUUUAGUGACUUAACUGACAUUUUUCUGUACUUGAAAAAUACUCAAAAGCAUUGGUUAAAAUAUUUUAACAGUUUUCUAAUGUCUUAAAGUCCCUUAAAGGAUGGUUAAAGCCCUCGAUAAGAGUUAUCGGAGCAUCAAAAUGCAAUGGGGUAUGUAUGUGGUCAUCUAGGCGAUCGUCCAUAUGUGCUUUUUACCAUGCUGAUGUCCGGUUCUAGGGGACUUUUGUGUUUAAUAGGUAGUUUGAUUUCAAAAAGGAAUAAAUGCAUUGCCUUAGACACAUAUAACAUAGGCCUAACAAAUGCAAAUCAUUACUAUUCCAUUGAAACCUUUCUUUAAGACAUUCAAGUAUGCUUUAAACUUAUACUUGCUAACCCUCAUUUAAGAUGCUUAAACUUGAACAUUAAAUUACCUAUCUACUCUUUGUUAGAGUGUUCAUUGUAUUUUUUCUUUCAAUUGCAAUUUAGUGAGAUUGUAAGAAAUGUGUAUGAAUAACAUCUUGAAGUUAUAAAGAACCUGAUGGCCUCCUAUACGUAAUGUGUAUACUAGAAAGGGGAAGAGGAGUGUACUGCCACCUGGCAGCUAGUUGUAAUAGUCUUAGUACAGGUUGGAAGGAGUGUACUGCCAGGUGCAAUUAGCCAUAACGGUCUUAGUACAGGCUGGAAUAACUUUAGGAAAAAGAUGGAAUUUGUGGAGCAGCUGGCUGUUGUGUGAGUCUGGUGGGAGAGUGAUAGCCUCUCGAAUAGCCAUCUUUGUAUCUGUUUGGCCCUUUUCUUGAAAUUUUGGAAAUUCAAUAAUAUUGCUAGUAAUUUUUUCUUCAUUAGAUACCUAUCAAUUUGGUAUCAGAGCAUUGAUCCAGAUGACUCAGAAGAAGAAUGAUGGCCGGGUGGAUUCUCUGGAGAAGGAAGUUGGAGAAAUCAAAGAGGAGAUGCAGCGCCUACUGGGAAUGGAAAAGACCGUGAUGGACCUUGCCUAGAACAUGAUGUGAGUUCUGCAGUUGCUGAAAUUGACACAGAAGGCAGUGGGGGUGUUGUCAUCAGGGCGGGUCACGACGAUUCCUCAUUGUGAGGGAGGCAGGGUGGAUCGAUGCAUGGGAGUAUGAUUGCUACUCAAUGAGAAGACCAUGCGGAAUGGAUCCCUGGAGUUGGGGAAACCAAUGGGGGGUUGGAUAGUGAUGGAUGAGAUGAGGCGAGGCAGAAACGGGGAAUGGCAUGGAGAUGGCACUUGGAGAUGCCUGUGUUUAUGGGAGACAACCCGAACGACUCGAUCUUUCGAGGUAAUCAAUACUUCAUAAUGAAUGGACUCACGAAAGAGGAGAAAUUAGUUGCCCCUACGAUGAGUCUUGAUGGGGACACACUUUCUUGGUACCAGUGGAUUGAUUCGAGAGAGGCAUUUGGGAGCUGGGAAAAUUUGAAGAGGCGACUGCUGCUCCGCUUUCGUCUGACUCAAGAAGGGAGCCUUUGUGAGCAGUUUCUUGCAGUGCGUCAGGAAGGGAUAGUGGCGGCUUACUAGCAGGAGUUUGAGAUUCUAGUUGCUCCCUUGAAGGGGAUUUCUGAGGAGGUAAUAGAAAGCACAUUUGUGAGCGGACUGCUUCUUGAGAUUUGGGUUGAGAUACAUUUUCUGCAACCAUGUGGGCUAGGCCACUUGAUGGAAAUGGCUCAACAGGUCGAAGACAGAAAUUUAAUCUUGUGGGCGGCCCAUGAACCAAGGGACCCAAAGAACACCAAAAUAUUGUCGUUCGCAAAUCGGGGGGAUUGGAAGACUAGGGAAACUUUUCAAACUAGGGCAAUGACUACUAGUGAUGUGAGAUUCUGAGUCUCUGACAAAGAGAUUGACGGAGUAUGAGCUCCAAGCCCGUAGAGAGAAGGGACUUUGUUUUUAGUGUGAUGAGAAGUUCUCACUUGGCCAUCGUUGUAAGAAGGAAUUAAGGGUUUUGCUGGUGCACGAAGAUGAGGAGGAGGAUAAUCAGUUUGAUGGUGAAGCAACUGUGGAACCUCCACUGAUUGAGCUGAAAGAUGUUGUGAAGUUAUCUCUAAAUUCUGUGGUCAGUUUAACAACAUCGGGGACUAUGAAAAUCAAGGGGACGAUCAAGCUGAAUGAGGUAAUCAAUCUUGUGGACGGUGGGGCUACCCACAAUUUUUACCCCUUGAUUUAGUUCAAUGAUUAGCACUUCCAUUAACUACAACAACCAAUUACGAGGUGGUGAUGGGAAUUGGGAUAUCCGUGAAAGAGAAGGGCAUUUGUAGGGGAGUUUGUAUUUCGAUGCAGGGGCUCACUGUAGUGUAAGAUUUUCUUCCACUUGAAUUAGGCAACACUGAUGUAAUUUUGGGAAUGCCUUGGUUGGGGACUUUAGGAUACAUGGAGGUAAAUUGGAAGAUGCUAAUGAUGAAGAUCAAAAUGGGGAAGUGGUGAUAUUGUUAAAGGGAGACCCAAGCCUCAGUAAGACCAAGGUGUCUCUUAAGGCAAUGGCUAGAGCAUUGCAGCACCGUGGCUAGAGGGUGUGGGUGGAACUCUAUCAAAUUUCCACCGAUUCAAGUUCAAGUGAAGGAGUAUAGGAGGUCCCAAAAGCAGUCAAAGAAGGACUAGCUCAACAUCAACAAGUCUUUGGGCAAAUGACGGAGUUACCACCGAAUCGUAAUAUUGACCAUGCCAUCCGAUUGAUUUUGAGAGCGCCACCAGUUAAUGUUCGUACCUAUCGAUACCCACAUAUUCUAAAGAAUAAAAUAGAGAGAUUGGUACAAGACAUGAUUGAGGCAGGAAUUAUUUGGCCUAGCUUAAGUCCAUUUUCUAGUCCAAUGUUGCUGGUUAAAAAAAAAAAGAUGGAGGAUGGAGGUUUUGCAUAGAUUAUUGUGCACUCAACAAAGUUACAAUUCUGGAUCGGUUCCUUAUUCCAGUAAUCAAUGAGUUACUUGACGAACUUCAUGGCAUAACCAUUUUUUCCAAGCUAUACCUCAAAUAUGAUUACCACCAUAUUUGAGUUCGAUAACAAGAUAUCCAUAAAACAGCGUUCCGCAUCCAUGAAGGUCACUACGAGUUCUUGGUGAUGCUUUUUGGGCUAACCAAUGCAUUGACGACCUUCCAAUCGUUAAUGAACCGUAUAUUUCGACUACAUCUUUGGAAAUUCGUGCUUGUAUUUUUUUAUGACGUACUAAUUUAUAGCAAGGACUUGAAGGAGCAUUGUGAUCACUUGCAAAGGGUGUUGUUCAUUCUGGCUAACCACUAGUUGCACGCCAAUGAGAAGAAGUGUCUCUUUGCUAAACCGCAGCUAGAAUACUUGGGUCGUUUGGUUUCUACUGAGGGGGUUGCUGUUGACCCCAACAAGUUUCAACCAUGAUAGAGUGACCCACACCCAAAUCCCUCAAAGAAUUGCGAGGGUUUCUUGAAUUGACCAGGUACUACCGUCAAUUUGUCAAGGGAUAUGGAGAUAUUUCUUGGCCCCUCAGUUAGCAACUCAAAAAGGAUGCUUUUAAUUGGAACCCAGAGGUUGAGAUUGCCUUCCAAAAGUUGAAAACAGUUAUGACAACAGUUCCUAUUUAGGCCUUGCCCGAUUUCACUCAGCUCUUCAUUGUGGAGACGGAUGUCUCGAGGUAUGGUUUAGGCGCUAUUUUGAUGUAAGGUCAAUGACCGAUGGCUUAUUUUAGCCAAGUCCUCUCGGUAAGGGUGUGACAAAAGUCCAUAUAUGAAAGGGAGUUAAUGACUAUUGUCUUAGCAGUUUAGAAGUGGCGUCACUACUUGCUUGGUCACCACUUUAUUGUGCGAACGGACCAAAGUAGUUUGAAGUUUUUGUAGAGCAAAGGGUGGUGAAUGAGUCGUACCAAAAGUGGGUCACAAAGUUGUUCGAGUACAAUUUUGAAAUUCAGUUUCGGCCUAGAUUGGAGAAUAAGGCAGCUGACGCCCUAUCUCGCAUCCCCAUAUCUAUUGAGUUAGGUACCCUCAUGGUUCCCAAUCGCUUGGACACUUCGGUGGUUUAUUCACAGGUUGAAGCUAACCCUCACCUUGCUAAGAUUUGACUAGGGUUGUUGGUUAAUCUAGAUGCUUAUCCUUGAUAUUCUUUGGACCAUGGCCUUCUUGUCUACAAGGGGUGCCUAGUUCUUCCCAAGGCCUCACCCCUUAUUUUGACACUUCUUCAAGAGGGCAUGCUAGCGUGGUUGGAGGUCAUUCUGGGUUCUUGCGGACUUACAAAUGGCUCACAUGGGACUUUUUUUGGGUUGGCAUGAAGAAUGACAUCAAAGGGUUUGUGGAAAAGUGUUCAAUGUGUCAACAAAAUAAAGUCUUUACUUUGUCACUGGUUGGGUUAAUAAAAACCAUUGCCUACUCCAGAAAAAAUAUGGGUUGAUGUGAUGAUGGACUUUAUUGAGGGGCUCCCUAAGUCAAAGGGUUAUGAUUCCAUCUUAGUUAUUGUUAGAUUGAGCAAUUAUGCUCACUUCUCCUUGCUUAAGCAUCCUUUCACAGCCUAAAUGGUGGUUGCUGUUUUUGUUUGUGAUAUUGUCAAAUUGCAUGGAAUUCCCUAUUCCAUUAUUCCGAUCAUGACAAAGUAUUUCCUAGUCGAUUUUGGAUGGACCUAUUCCGAUUGCAAGGUACCUCCUCUGUCGUGGUACUGCUUACAUCCUCAAAUAGAUGGAUAAACGGAGGUGGUCAACUGUUGUGUGAAGGCAUACCUUUGAUGCUUUUCAUAUGACAAGCCUCGAUGUUAGUCUACAUGGCUUCCGUGGGCGGAGUACUAGUAUCAUAACAUGUUCCACGCAUCCACUAAUAUGACAUUGUUUUGAGCGAUUUAUGAGUAGGAAGCCCCAUCAUUGCUACGUUAUGGAUCAGAUUCUACAUUUGUUUUGCCAGUGGAUCAGUUGCAGUAAGAGCAUGAUCGAAUUUUAAAUGAACUGAAGGACCAUCUCAGUUGUGCCCAGUCCAAAAUGAAGUCAUCUGCAAUGUCCAUCGUCGUGCAAUGCAAUUUGAAGUUGGGGAUUUUGUCUAUCUCAAUCUUCGUCAUUACCGUCUUCGUUCCCUUGCAAGGCGACCCAAUGAAAAGCUCUCUCCAUGGUAUUUUAGCCCUUACAAGGUGGUGCAGCAAAUUGGUCUAGUGGUGUACAAGUUAGAGCUCCCUUCUUCCACAACUAUUCAUCCAGUGUUUCAUGUUUCACAGCUCAAGUGGGCUCUUGGUUCAGCUGAUUUAUGUCAGCCACUUUCCCCUAGUCUUGUUGAUGAUUUCGAGUGGCUUGUGGAGCUUGAUCAAGUCUUAGGUGUUCGACAGUCUCCCAAUAUCAAUCCUCCUAUUAGUGAAGUACUUAUCCAAUGGAAAGGACUUCCGCAGUUUGAGGCUUCAUGGGAAUCACUCGACAUGAUUAAGGAGCACUUUCUUGGCUUCCACCUUAAGGACAAGAUGUCUUGCAUUGGGGGGAGGGGGAGGGGGGUUGUCGAUGAUAGGCUUCCUAUACGUUAUGUGUAUCCUAGAAAGGGGAAGAGGAGUGUAUUGCCACCCAUGGUUUGAAAUAUUGGUAAACAGGGAUAUAUCAGCACUUGAAUUUUACAGAUAUAUCGGAAAUAUCAGAGAAAUAUCAAUGGAUAUUUUGACAAAAAUAUUGGUAAGGGGAAAAUUAUUCAAAAAUCAUGGAAAUAUUUGGAAAAACUCCAAAAAAUGAUAAAAUAAAUAAAAUAUACAUGUUAAAAUUAUUUCCUAAGUGUAAUUGACAUACAUAUGGUUAAAGAGAAAAAUAUCAAUAAGUAAAGAUAAAUCAAUAUUAAUAAUUUAUUAUUUAUUAUUUAUCUAAUCAAAUUAAUUUUAAUUUAUAAAAAAUUAAAACUUCAUUAUUAUUAUUAUUAUUAUUAUUAUUAUUUUAGUAUUUUUUGAAAAAAUUUAUAUUUUUAAUAUUUUAAAAUAAAAGCAUUCAAAAUUAAAUAAAAUUAAAAUGAUAAAUAUAAAAAAUUUAAAAGUGAAUUGAUAAUAAUUUUUUAAAAUAGGAUUAAUGAGAUAAAUGAUGAUACAUUUAAUAUUAAAACUAUAAUUUAUUUAAUUCAAAUGCAUUCAAUAAUGUAAAAUAAAUGAUGAUGCAUAUAUGAUUUUUUAAUAUUUAUAUUUUUUAUAUUUAAUUAUCACAUAAACGAUAUUAAAAAAUAUUUGUUGAAAAAAUUAUAAUGAUGGAUUUUAUACAUUUAUUAAUUAAUUAAAUAAAAUUUAAAGUAAAAUAAUUAUAAUUAAUUAAUUAAUUUUUUAAUAAUAAACUUUAACAAAUUUAUUAUCAACAUAUAUUAUUAAGUGUGAACUUGGCCCAGUGGUAAUUAGGCUUAAACCCAAGCUUUUUGGCUUGAGUUCGAAUCCCCUAAGCCGCAGCAGCAACGUAAACAUUUCAAAAAAGUUUUGACCACCAAAAAUAUUGAGAAAUAUCCUGAUAAAUCAGAAAAAACAUUUCACCGCAAAAAUUGACGAAAAGUCGGCCGAUCGAUUAUCGAUGAAGAAUAUUAUGUCAGUCAGCUCCGAUAACUGAAAUAUUUUUGCCAAAAAAAUCCAACAUUUCAAACCAUUCUGCCACCUAACAGUUAGUUGUAACAGUCUUGUAUCUGUUUGACCCUUUUCUUGAAAUUCUGGAAAUUCAAUAAUAUUGCUAGUAAUUUUUUCUUCAAUAGAUACCUAUCAGAACCAUCUAGAACCUAGGGAAUCUAAAUGUAAAUAAGAUUUAAAAGAGUCUUUGUUGAGAAGAUUCUUGGUUUGGUCGAACACUUUAAGGCUUGUGAAGGAGCUCAAAGACGUAGACAUAGGGGUGUUACUAAACCACAAUAAAAUCACAAUGUUUGUAAUCUUUCUUCUCUUAAUUCUCUUUAAUUUCAGUACUUUACUUUUAUUAUUUGCAUCAUAUAUUGUUUGUAUUUAAAUUUGGAUAAAAAGUUCAAAAAGAGACCACCCAAUUCACCCCACCAAUCCCCACUCUCCUGGGUGAUUACCUACAUUUGCUUAGCAAGACUACUUAAAUAUACACAACUGUGAUGGCAAAUCAAGACUAGCAUUGUUGUUGGUCAUAAGAAUUAAAUUGCCAUUCUAAGUAGAUACAUUAUAACAGCUCUGGACAGUCUAUAUGUCUAAUUAUUAGAAAUCACAACUAGCCCUAUAGUUCCAAUAAACUGAACAUAUAUUUGAAAAAAAAAAUCUGGAAAUUCACAAAAAGUUCCAUUAUCUCUCUCCAUCUAUUUGGAAUUGAUAUCACCAGCCAAGGUCAAUGAUUCCAAUUCAUAUACAGUCAGAACGCCCAGAGUAGAGUGUGAUUCCAAUAUUUUCUCCUUACCAGGUAAACUUUUCAGGCAUCCCCAUAAUUUUAGAGAAAUAUAAUUGGUUUUGUCCAAAAAACCUAUUCUUGUUUACUCUAUUUAUCCUAAAUUACUUCAUUUGAUCUCAAAUAUAAUUUGGUUUUUCCUUAAGCUUUUCAUUGAUGCUCAAUGCUCACUCCACACACUUAAUUUCUUAAAUUGCUAAUGUUAUCCUCAGUGGCCAUACAAUAUUCUUUCUUUUUUUUUUUCUUUUUUUUAGACAGAUAAAACCAAUUGCAUUAAAAAUAAAAAUGCCACAAGGACACAUCAAUGUACAUAGGAUGUAUACAAAUAGCACCUAACAGCACAAAAACAUGAAAAGAACCCAAGCAACAACCCCCACCCUUAACCAGAACCCAACCACUCAAUGAAAUAAAGUAAAGACUAAGAAUCUAUCUCUAUGUACUUCUUUACCUAAGUGAACAAAUUCCUAAGAAAGAACAUCUUCAAAAACUAAGCAAAAUGCUCCUCAUUAUCAUACAACCUGAGAUUUCUUAUUACACCAUACAAGAUUCUUAUUACACCAUAAAGGCCCCUAUAUUUGACAGAUAUGCCUGGUUAAGUAGAAGAUUAUGCAUGGAAAACCUAUUCUAAUUCUAUGAUAAAUGUCCUACUUCAUGCCAUCUUCCUUUUGAAUAAUUGGAAUGAAAUGGCCUGUUCGGGAUAUCUACUAAUCAAUGAUUUUUUAAUUUACCAAAAUUUCUCUUCAAGUCAACCUCCAACACUGAGAAGUUCAUUUCUACAAAUUUCUUUGCUAUGUUGCUCCCCUGGUUCCAAGCCAAGAAAAACCACUAAAAUCAAGAUCCCCAACAAACAACCAUCAGUUGAGGUUCAUACACACAGAUACUGGGAAAUGGGACAUAGGCCUUCAAUCCUAUAUUCAAUUAUGACUAUCUUUUGCUAAAUGCCGAUUAAACCAUACUGGAUUCCCUGCCUAAUUGAUAAAAAUAUUGUCAAAAAAAUGCAUAUACAUGAGUUACAGUGUUGAAGGGGAAUAACAACAUAUGGAUUUUAUCACUUCUAUGUAAAACAUUUCGAAUAUUACACUAGAAGAACUUAGAAGUUAUCCAGCAAGCAUACAUUUCACUAAAGAAAGCAUACGCUGUGAACAUGAUUGAUUAGUUCACCAACUUCAACACUUCAUAUCAGCCAUAUCUCCUUGGCCAAAUCAAGGAUGGAACAAGACUCCACAAAAUGUUCUGAAACAUGUGUGCAUAUGGAUAGUUCAAAUAAGCUAUAAAAUUACUUGCACAAAUUUUCCAGCAAAAAAAAUGCAAAAAAUAUUCAAUUGAAGACUUUAUUUUAAUUGCAACUAAUCAUAAUGAAUACCAAAUGCAUAUUGUGAAAGUCUCAAGUGCAGAGUUUGAUACACUGUUCUGCAAGCUUACUGUUAGGCCUUUGGUUCACCAACUACAAAUGGAAGGUUGAAACAAUCAAACCUUGGGCAGCUGGACCACCCUGAAACCUACACAUAUUUUUUUUGAUAAGUCCCUGGAGUCUAGACUAAUUUCGAUUAGUUCUUGCUGCUACAUGCCUAUUUGAUGGGAGGCAGUUUUUUUUUGGGUGAUUAUUAACCAACAUUUUGAUUAAUUAACACUAAAGCUAAACCUCUUUUGAGUUACAAUUAAUCAACAUUUGGAUCCAAGAAAAUUUUAAAGUCAAAGUCAUCAAUAAGGAGCAAACCCUAAAUCUGCUUUGAGUUACAAUGAAUCAACAUUUAGAUCAAAGAGCAUUUUAAAGUCAGACUCAUCACUUAGGGAACAAACCCUAAAUCUGGCAUUUUGAUUCCAGCCACUUUCCAAAUUUAUAUGAAUCAGAAAAACCCGCAAAAUAACACACCGAUUAGUCAACAAUUGAACAAGAAAUCAAAUCUAAAACCUUAGUCAUGUCUUUCAACAAAAUACCUCAAAAUGAAGACAAAUCGAACUCCAUACACAAAGAAAUUAAAGCAAACGCAACGCAAAUCAAACACGACCCACAUAAGAUUAACCCAAAAUGAGAACGUAACACUCAAUACACUUCAAUUUUCAUUUGAUUCGCCAUCUGGCUCCCCCCAUUUUCCAUCCAAAAACCCAUAACCCCAGGGUCCCCAACCAACAGAAAAUGCAACACAACAGUCCAAUUACCUGUGCCAAUCGAGACCGAGAACGGCGGUCACGGAGCGAACAGAGAGAACUUCAAAGAGACAGGUGGAGAGCAUGAAGAUCAUCGAAGCAACAAAGGGCAAAACAGAACGGAACUCCAUGGACCAGUGCUUGUAGAAGGGGACGCGAGCGACGGCUACUAGAGCGAGCACUGACCAGAGAGCAGGCAUUAGCCAGGAGUGCCAUGCCGGAGCCAGGUACCGGAGGUAAUCAACAGCCACGUAGGCUAUGGCGGCCACACCUAGUCCCCCGGCCCUCGCCCUCGCAGUCACCGGAGGUCGCCACUUCAUAGCUGUGGAGAAGAGAGGGAGCAGUGAUCCAAGCAAAAUUAUUUUUCAAAACAUCGUUCCAUUAAUAUUCGUUAAAGAGAAUAGUAACGGAAGCUAUCUGGAAAGCCGGGUUCACAUUCCCAGAAACAUGCAUCCAAAAUAAGAAAGAAAUUUUUUACUUUCUCUAAUUCUUUUUAUCUUUCAUUCUCUCAAUUUUCUCAAUUCUUUUUUAUGAUUUUUUUCCCUAUAAAUAUUAUUAUUAAAAUAAUAUAUAAUUUAUUUCUAUUACUUUAUUUGCAUUGCAUUUAUUCUUGUUUCACAACGAUUUAUCAACACAAAUUGCUUUGAAGGUAAUUAUCAUAUCUUAAACUUGAAGUUAUUUAUAUAGAAUAAAAUUUUACAUAUUUAUAUUAUUGUUGAUUUGUUUUGUCAUAUAUUGUUAAAAGUUAUAAACAAAUUAUUUAACUUUGUUUAUAAUCAAAGUUAUACCAAUGCUAUCAAUUUAUUAUAACUGAUUCAAAUAAUAUUGUUUUGUCAUAUAUAUAUGAAGUUAUUUGACAAUAUCGAAUCUCACAAAACUCGAAUUUGUAGCACUUGAUAUUUCAGGAAAGAACUAUCUAUCUUGGAUCUUGAUGCUGAAAUACAUCUUGAUGUAAUGAAUUUUGGAGCUAUGAUCAAAGAAAGAAAUAAAGCAUCCUUGGAGGAUCGUGUAAAAACAUUGAUUUUCCUUUGUCAUAAUCUCCAUGAAGGUUUAAAAAAUAUAAAAAUAAAUAAUGAGCUUUUGAUGAUAAAUCACCAGUCUCGUCUAACUAGAUUUGAACCAUUCCUUGAAAUGAAUACUUCCUUGAAAUGAAUACAAUAUCGUCAUAAACUCGUGGACGAGGACGUGGUCGUGGUUGUGGAAGAAAUCUCCGAUACCAUGGUUCUUAUAGUAAUAAUUCAUCAAAUUCUCAAAAAAUGAAAGCCUCAUUGCACCAUCAGAAGUGGAACAAUAUUGAGGUAUAACAAAAAAAUGGGAAGUGUUUAUAAGAUAAAUCUCCUAAAAACCAUAAGAAUAAUUGUUAUAGAUAUGGCAUGAAGGGACAUUAGUCGCGUACAUGUCGUACGCCCAAACGUUUGGUUGACCUUUACCAAGCAUUAAUAAAAGCAAAAGGAAAAGAGAUAGAGAUGAACUUUAUCGAUAAUAAUGGAUUGGACCUAACCUACUAUGACAUAGAUUUCUUUGGAGGUCCCAGUAAAAAACAGACCAUUUAAUAAAUGAUGAGAAGAUUAACAUUGAUUGAUGUUAAUUUAUAUAUCAAAUAAUAUAGUAUUAUGUUUUAUAUUUACAUCUGAUUUUUUUUUUUUUGUUAUUUACAUUAUGCCUUGUUUUUUUAGUUAUAUCUGAAAUCCAUGUGUUAUUUGGUCUCAAGAUGAAUGAGGAUGAUGUAUGUCUCACAGACUAUGCAACCACGCACACAAUUCUUUGAGAUAAAAGAUAUUUUUUCGAAUUGACAUUAAUAAAAGCUAAUGUAAGUACCAUAUUUAGUACUACAAACUUAGUUGAAGGCUCUAGAAGAGCAAACAUAACACUACCAAAUGGAACUAGAUUCCAUAUAAAUGACACUUUAUAUUCUAGCAAAUCUAGAAUAAAUUUGCUCAAUUUUAAAGAUAUCCGCAGAAAUGGAUAUCAUAUUGAAACUAUGAAUGAAGAUAAUGUAGAAUAUCUUUACAUUACUUCUAUUAUAUAUGGCAAGAAGCUUAUAAUGGAAAAACUCACGAAUUUCUUUUCUAGGUUGUAUCAUACAACUAUAAAGCCUAUUGAAUCAUAUGUUGUCGUGAACCAGAAGUUCAACAACCCAAAAGUUUUUUUCCUUUGGCAUGACAGACUAGGUCACCCGAGGUCUUCAAUGAUGUGUCGAAUAAUCAAACACUCACAUGGGCAUCCACUAAGGAACCAGAAGAUUCUUUUGCCCAAUGAAUACUCAUGUGCUGCCUGCUCACAAGGUAAAUUGAUAGUCAGACCAUCUUUUACUAAAGUCAUAUAUGAGUCACUAGUCUUUUUAGAAAGAAUACAUGGAGACAUAUGUGGGCCUAUUCAUCCACCAUGUGGACUAUUCCAUUAUUUUAUGAUCUUAAUAGAUGCUUCUACUAGGUGGUCACAUGUUUGUCUCUUUUCUACACGUAAGGUUGCCUUUUCUAGACUCCUUGCACAAAUAAUCAGAUUACGAGUACAAUUUCCAGAUUAUCCAAUUAAGACAAUACAUCUUGAUAAUGCUGGUGAAUUUACUUCUCAAACAUUCAUUGACUAUUGCAUAUUAGUAUGGAUAAAUAUUGAGCAUCCUGUUGCUCAUACUCAUACCCAAAAUGGUUUAGCAGAAUCCUUCAUCAAACAUCUCCAAUUAAUAGCUCGACCAUUACUAAUGAAAACUAAACUACCUACUUCUGCCUAGGGACAUGCUAUUAUGCAUGGUGCAACUUUAGUUCGUAUUCGACUUACAACUUACUAUGAAUACUCUCCUUCACAACUUGUGCUUGGAAAACAACCAAACAUCUCUCACUUGCGAAUCUUUGGUUGUGCAGUAUACGUACCAAUUGCACCUACACAACGCACCAAAAUCGGUCUCCAAUGAAGACUUGGGAUUUAUGUAGGUUUUGAUUCUCUAUCUAUCAUAAGAUAUCUUGAGCCUUUGACAGACGAUGUUUUUACAGCCUGCUUUGCGGAUUGUCAUUUUAAUGAUAGUGUUUUCCCAUCAUUAGGGGGAGAAAAGUCGAUUCCUGAAGAACAACGAGAAAUUAGUUGGAAGACAUCUACUACUAUGACUCAUCUUGAUCUUCGUACAAAUCAAUGUGAACUAGAAGUUCAAAGGAUCAUUCAUUUGAAAAGUCUUGCAAAUCAAUUACCAGACGCAUUCAUUGAUACAAAGAAAGUGACAAAGUCUUAUAUUCUGACUGCAAAUACUCCAACACAGAUUGAUGUCCUUGUAGAACAGUUAACAAAUGAAUCUAAGAUAUGCUUGAAGCGUGGUAGACCUAUUGGCUCAAAGGAUGUAACUUCCCGAAAGAGGAGAACCCAAGAAAAACUUGGCACUAUAAAAUAGGCCAUCAAAAUGACUGAUCAAUUUAAAAUUGAUAAAUCUAUAGCCCCUGAAGAGGCACAUAUUGAACAAGAAGCCCUUGAAGAGGCACAUGUACCUGAAAAUUGUGAGAUCUCAGUAAGUUAUGUACACACGGGAAAAAAAUGGGAUCAAAAUAAUAUUGUUAUUGAGAAAAUAAAGGUUAUGCUUAAAUAAGAAAAACACCCAAAAGGGGAGUGAAUUAGGUUUUUCAAAAACUUUUUCAACACAAAAAAUUUAAGUACAAUAUAAUAAAAAAUAAAGAGAUAGAGUUAUAGAAUUCAAACUUGGAUUUUAUAGUGGUUCAACACUUCUUUACCUAUGUCCACUCUUUUCAAUCUCCUAACUGAGUGAGGUUUCUACUAACUUAAAGCUUCAACCAAGCUUUCAAUUUUCUUACACUUGGAUUCCGACUCCAAUGGGCUCUUACACAAUUUCUUCAAGAUUCAAACCUCUUGAACAUUUUAACACUCAAUUUUUACAAGAAUGAAUCCCUCAACCUAGCUCAAAGAUAACUCAAAUACAAAACAAAGUUAGGAUGACUAACAAGGAUGCAUUAAAAGAUAUGCAAGUGAGGAUUUAAUGCACUAAAAAAGAAAUGAGAGCUUUUAAGCCAAGAACAAGUGGGUAGACAAUUGAUUGCAAGUGUUCUCAAUUUAUAAGUUUCUAAACUCGGGAGCCAAGAAAAGCAAAAGGUAGUCUCGACCGGUCGAGUUGGGGGUUGACCGGUUCACUAGCCAUUGGAGCAUUUAAUGUUUUGACAGGUUACCAUUGCCUAGACCGGGAAGAAGGAAACCUCAAUUGGGAAAAGGAAGCUACUGGAUGAGAAAGAGUGUUUUUGGUACUCCUCGAUUGGACCUCGACCGAACAAGGGCAACCGGUUGAGCCGGUUGGCCAGAACCUCGACCAGUUUAGCAUUUUGGCCCCGAAAACCUAUCUUUUUCAAUUCCUUUCUUUUCUAACACUUAGGCAAGGUCUUUAGGUAAAUUAAUAUGCCAAUUUUAAAACGUUUUGCCUAAGGUACAUUUGAUAAAACUCGAGUUUUAAUGAAAUCAAAAUUUUAAAGAAUAAACUGAGUUUUCAAAGAUGCAUGAAAAUGUAUGAAAAACCUAAAUGCACCCAUGCAUUCAUCUUACAUUCGUUUCCUAUGAUCAAAAGUCUUCCAAAAGUCUCGAUCUUGUAUCCAUUUGGUCAUUUGAUGAAUUUCCGAAUUUAUACCUGAGAUUCUUUUACCAUUCAAAUCAAUUAGUCACUUAACCAUGAUUGGUUAUCAUCAAAACCUGAUUAGGAGAACCCUUGGGCUAACAGUUAUUAACAAUAUUUUCGCUUUCCAAGUAGCCUCUGAUAUCAUAAGAAAUGAUGAAGAUCUUGAACCAAAAAAUAUGGAAGAAUACUGACAUAGAAAUGAUUGGCCAAAAUGGAAAGAAGCUAUACAGGCAAAGUUAAACUCAUUAACAAAAUGAGAAGUUUUUGGACCUAUAGUCCAAACACCUGAAGAUGUAAAGCCUGUUGGGUACAAAUGGUAUUUGUAUGAAAGCGUAAUGAGAAUAAUGAGAUUAUAAGAUAUAAAGUGCAAUUAGUAGCAUAAGGUUUCUCGUAGAGACCUGGUAUUGACUACGAGGAAACAUAUUCUCCCAUCAUGGACGCAAUCACAUUUCGUUUCUUAAUUAGUUUGACAUUCUCAGAAGGACUGGAUGUGUGUCUCAUGAAUGUUAUUACAACAUAUUUAUACAGAUCCAUGGAUAAUGAUAUAUACAUAAAAAUCCCUAAAGGAUUUAAAUUGCUUGAAGUAAAUAGUACAAAGCCUCACAACAUGUACUAAAUCAAGUUACAAUGAUCGUUGUAUGGAUUAAAGCAAUUUGGACGCAUGUGGUACAAUCAUCUUAGUGAAUACUUGCUAAAAUAAGGGUGUGUGAAUAAACCUAUAUGCUCAUGCAUCUUCAUUAAGAAAUCAAAAACCGGAUUUGCAAUUAUUGUAAUGUAUGUUGAUGACUUAAAUCUUGUUGGAACUCUUGAAGAGCUCACAAGAACAACAAAUUACUUGAAAAAUGAAUUUGAAAUGAAAGAUCUUGAAAUUUUUUUUUUCUCGGCCUAUAAGUCGAGUAUUUUCCAAAUAGAGUUUUAGUACAUCAAUCAACAUACAUUAAUAAAGUUUUGAAACAUUUUUAUAUGGAUAAAACGCAUCUUUUAAGUUCUCCAAUGGUUGUCCAAUCAUUUGAUGCGAAAAAGGACCCAUUUUGUCCUUGUGAAAAAGAUGAAGAAUUACUUGGUCCUGAAAUACCAUAUCUUAGUGCUAUUGGUGCACUUAUGUAUCUUGCCAAUUGUACACGUCUAGACAUUGUUUUUUUUUUUUGUCAAUUUAUUAGCAAGAUACAGUUCCGCUCCCACUUGAAGACAUUGGAAUGGUAUUAAACAUAUAUUGCGUUAUCUUUGCGGAACUACUGAUACGAGUCUAUUUUACUCAAGGGAAUCAAAGCAACAAUUGCUUGGAUAUGCAGAUGCAUGAUAUCUUUCAGAUCCACAUAAAGGUAGGUCACAAUUAGGGUAUGUGUUUAAUUGCAAUGGUACUGCUAUUUCAUGGAGAUUUGUCAAACAAACAAUAGUGACCACAUCGUCAAAUCAUUCAAAAAUACUGACAAUUCAUAAAGCAAGUUGUGAAUGUAUAUGACUAAGAUUUAUGAUCCAGCAUAUUCGGGAAUCAUGUGGACUCUCCUUUAUCAAAGGUGACCCGACAAUAUUAUUUGAAGAUAAUGUUGCAUGCAUUACACAAAUAACAGGGAGUUAUGUUAAAGGGGAUAGAACUAAACACAUUUCACCAAAAUUAUUUUAUACACAUGAAUUCUAGAAGAGUGGUGAAAUUGAUGUGCAAAAAAUAUGCUCAAGUGUUAAUCUAGUAGAUUUAUUCACAAAAUCAUUGUCAACCUCAACAUUCAAGAAGUUAAUACACAAGAUUGGAAUACGUCAACUCAAGGAUAUUGACAUGAGGAGGAGUAUGCUUGUAAAAGGGUGUUAGUGUACUAUACUCUUUUUUCCUUCGUCCAGGUUUUGUCCUACUGGGUUUUACUAGCAAGGUUUUUAACGAGGCAAUCCUAACAUACCAAGAGCAACUUAAAGAAUUAUAAGAAUAUUGUACUAUUUUUCCUUCGCUAGGUUUUUCCCAUAAUGUUUUUUACUAGCAAGGUUUUAAUGAGACAUAUUCUUUAAUGUGGUGGACAUCCAAGGGGGAGUAUUAUAACUGAAGUAAUAAAUGUCACCACAUUAAUUACAAUAAAUGUUAAUUAAGUAUUAUUUAUGAUUUCCAUUAAUAUUCAUUAAUGGAAACUAUUAAUGUUAUUUAUGAGUCUCAUUAAUGGAAACCAUUAAUGUUAUUUAUGAGUUCCAUUAAUAUUCAUUAAUGGGAAUAUUAAUGGAAGCCAUUUGGAAAGCCCAUAAAAAGGGCUUCCCAUCCUCUGUCAUAUGCAUCCAAAACAAGAAAGAAAUUUCUUACUUUCUCUCAUUCUCUCUAUAUUUCAUUCUCUCAACUUUCUCAAUUCUCUUUUGUGAUUUUUUUCCCUAUUAUAUAUUAUUAUCAAAGUAAUAUAUAAUUUAUUUCUACUAAUUUAUUUGCGUUACAUUUAUCCUUGUUUUACAACAAAAAAGUAUUUUUAAAUACGCCAUUUGACCCAAAAAAAAGAAAAGAAAAGAAUUUAAGAAAAUGCAAUAUGAUAUUAAAUCUGAAUUUAUAUAACAUUUUCUUUCAUAGUAUAUGCCACCUCAUUUUUCAAAAAAUUUCUUUCCAUCCCUUUAAUAAAUAAAUAAAUAAAAUAAAAUUUUCUUUAUUUUUUAUUUUAAUAAAUAAAUAAUUUUAUUUAAAAUUCAAUGGUGAUUUGAGGGGAGCAUAAAGAAAUUAACGUAAAUGUGAUACAAAUAUUUUAAUCUUUUUAUUUAUUUUUUCAUAUUAUAGUGCUUAUAACCAAAUUUUUAUUACAAGUAUGAAGGAUUCAAUAAAUAUUUAUAAAUUUCAAUCAAAUGGUAAUUUGCCUGAAAUUUCAUUUAUGCAUUAUUAAUAUCUCAUAUUAGUCAUUAAACAUCAUUUGUAAAAUAUUUAGAGAGUGUUUCUAUUUGAAGUGUUUUUAGUAAAAGUGCUUUUUUUGACAGUGUUUUUAAGAGAAUCAUCUAUCAAGAGCCCGUUUGGCAGUGAUUUUCAAAACUGUUUCUACCCUUAAAAACACUUUUCAGUGUUUUUGGGAUAAAAAUAAAGUGUUUAACAAAUUUUUAAAAACACUUUUGAAAAUCUGGGAAAACACUUAAAGUGAUUUUUAGAUAAUCACUUGACAAGUGUUUUUUAAAAAAAACACUUCAAAAAAUUUGAAAUAUUCCAAAAAUGCCCCCAAGUGAUUCCUGAUAUCUUCCUUCCUUUUCGCUCAUACCUCUCUCCUUCAUUCUCCUCCUCCAUCGCUCUCCAUCCGAGACUACACAGUAGGAAAGACACUCCACUUUUAUUCAACAUCGUUGAUCGGAUCGAAGGUAACCCUCUGUUCUUUUGUUGUUUUUCUUUUCUAUUUUUUUUUUAAUGUCUGAUUGUCUUGAAAUGUUAGUUAGGGUUUUAGGUUUUAGGAUUGUUUAGUUAAGAGAAAAAUAUGAGAAAAUGAAACUUGUAAAUCCUCAAAUGUUUUUAUAGGAAUUACUUCCAAGCCUUAACAAUUUUAGAUCUAUUUUUCAAUAGAGCAGUCGAGUCUCAUUUCCCAGUACUUCUCUCUCUAAAACUCUCAUUCUCUAUUUUGGUUCACAUAUGAAAUUGCUCUAUUUAGGGUUUUUGAGUUCACAUAGUCUCGACAAUUCAAAAAAGCAACAUUUCAGUUCCCUAAAAUUCAACUACAUUUGAACCUAAACACAUGCAAUCUUUUAGAAAUCAAUUGCAGAUCAACACAUAUCAUAAUUCUCAACUCGAUAUCAGAAAUUAAACAUAGCCAAUUCAAUUAAAAGGAAUAUAAAAACUAUUGAUUCAACUUAUAAAUAAAACAUCAAAUCAUAAAAUUUAAAACUGAAAGACUAACCAUGCAUUGCUGAACACUGAACUGGAAAUCCCAUAAAAUCUGAAUGUUGAUGUUAUUCGAAAUCUUGUUGUUGCCUGCAACCGCUGCAUUUCAGGUAUGAUUAAAAAAAAGGAAUAAAAGAUAGAAAUCAGGAUCUUAACUGACGAAAUGGAGAAACUUACCGGUGAAGAGAGAAUAUUGAAUGCCAAAAAUGAAAAGAAAGAAGAAGAGGGCAGCGUAGAUAAGAUGGAAAAUAGUGAAUCUCAUCUUGUUGGAAGAGAACCUACUUAGAGGAUGAAGAGGUCUCAUGAUUGAGAUUCGUAGACUGAUUUCAAAUCAAUUUUCGUGUAGAUCUCUGCUAUAGCUAAUAGGGGGACUAUGGAUUGUUUACAGUUCCUGCUUCUUGGAGUUGUACCUUCUAGGUUGAGAAUGCCUUCUAUGUGUUUUCAAUAAGUUAUAGAACCACUCCUUUUUCCCAGUUUGAUCUUAGGUUUUCUAUGUCAUAUUGGGUUGUCCAUCUUCUGAACAUGGGCUAAAACAUCAUCUUUGCAUUCUCAAUGAGCCAAAUUCUAGAGUCAUAAUUAAGCUGCUCAGUGACACCUGCAAGGGAGAAAUGAGCUGGUUUCAGGCAAGUCAUAGAACUCAUUGCGAAGAGGUGGAAUUGACUUCCUCCUAUAUGUGAAACAUUCCAACUAGUUUUCAGAUGGUCAAGACUUGAUUACAUUGCAAUACAUGUCUAAAUGUAGAGAGGCGGUUAGAGUAUGACUUGCAAUAGAAACAAAGAAAAUGUAGACCCAUUAAAUCAAUAUCCUGAUGCAAAGAAAAAAAAUUUAUGAGAGAAGCGGAACUAAAAAAUUUAGUUUCUACCAAAUUUAGGAUUUGUAGGCUUUGUAUGUAUCUUCAGUUUCUACCAAUGAGGAUUUCUUUUCAACCAAGAUUAUUGCACUUGAGGAUUUCUUUUUCUUAUUUGUUUAUUAUGCUUUACAGAAUUUGCCUAUAUGAUGUUCAAUACCGAGUUUACAUUUUAAAAUUUUAAUCAUACCAAGCAUUGUCUACACUAGAUAACCAUAUAUUCUUGAUGUUUUGUUCCUUAAUUCUUUUUUUAUUCUUCAUUUUAAUUGUGUGAUUCUUUGUUUGAAAAUUAUUAUUUCUCUAAAAUAUAUAUAUUUUUAAAUAGAGAAUGUCUAGCAACAUUGUUUAACCAUUACAACAACCAAGUGGUGGAGAAAGUAAAAAACAAAGCAAGGCUUAUUGGGAUGAUAUUACAAUGGAUGCUUUUAUCAAAGUUUGUGUGAUUGAGACCUUGAUUGGAAAUAGACCAAAUAAUCACUUUAACAAGUUGGGAUGGAAAAAUGUGAUAAAAGCCUUCAACAAUUUGUUUGGAAGAAACUAUCAAUAUAGGCAACUUAAGAAUAAAUGGAGUUCUCUUAAAAAGGAUUGGGAACUUUGGAAUACCUUGAUUGGGAAAGAGACUGGCCUUGGGUGGGAUCCUAUGAGACAAACCAUCAAUGCAAGCAAUGAAUGGUGGGAUAAGAAAUUGAAGGUAUGUUUUGUUUAUUCAUUAAAUUUAUUUGAUUAAUUUAUAUAUUGGUUAUGAAAUAUGAUAAAUUAAAUACUCUUGUAGGAGAAUCCUGAAGCAAUAAAGUUUAAAACAAAAGGCUUGAAAAAUGUUGAGUAAUUAGACAUACUUUUCAAAUAUAUUAUUGCUACUGGUGAAGGAGACUGGGCACUAUCACAAGGCUUUGUAGGACAAGAUGUUGAUGAUUCAUCUAAGGUGGGGGAACACGAAGAUAAUAUAAUAGAAGACCAAGAUGACUCUAGUUGCAAUCUGCCACUUAAUACUAUCUCCAAUAGUUUUGAAGCUACUACUCAACCUUCUAUGGCAAAAAAGAAUGAAGGAAGAAGAAAGAGGAAAAGAAAUGAAACCAAAUAUGAGCUUGUGGCUAUCCAGUUAGAGCGCAUUUGUAGUGCUGUGGAGAAUAGGUCUUCUAUCUCAUCUAAAGGAGAUAAACCAGGUUGUAGCAUUGCUGAAGUGAUGAAAAUCAUACGUGGGAUGCCUGAAGUGAAGAAUGACUUUGAGUUAUAUAUGAAAGCCACAAAUAUCAUGGUUGUCAAGGAAAAUAGAGAUAUGUUUGUUGCAUUAGAAGACCCAAUUGAUCAGAUUGCAUGGCUUAAACAUAAACAUGUUUGAGUGUUGGAGUUGUUUCUUGUUUUUAUAUGGAAACAUAUUUUUNNNNNNNNNNNNNNNNNNNNNNNNNNNNNNNNNNNNNNNNNNNNNNNNNNNNNNNNNNNNNNNNNNNNNNNNNNNNNNNNNNNNNNNNNNNNNNNNNNNNAAUUGAUCAGAUUGCAUGGCUUUAAACAUAAACAUGUUUGAGUGUUGGAGUUGUUUCUUGUUUUUAUAUGGAAACAUAUUUUUGUUACCUAAUAUUGUUUAGUUGUUAGGUUGAGGGGAGGAAAGAGAUGUUGGUUUGCUUUAUGUGUGAAUUGCAAAAGUCAUUAUGCCCUUAUUUGAUACUUUUUAUUAUUUCUUUCUCUAAAAAUUGUGACUAUUAGAUGAGCUUUGGUGGUAAACUUCUUAUAAAAUUUGGUAUUGUUUUUCAUUUUAUUAAUGUGUAGUUCCUCUGUUCUUUUUUUAUAUUUCAUCUUAGUCAUUUAACAUUUUUUUUUGGGUUUAUUUUUUCUAUAAGAUAUAUUUUUUUAAUAUAGAAUGUCUAGCAAUGGUAGGAAUUCUAAACUUCAAUUGUGUACUUUCUAAUUUUUAAAAAUAACUAUAGUAAUUGAAAAUAUACAUUAUUGUUGUUUAUUAACGUAUUUCUUUUUUUAUUUUUAUUUGUGUAGAUGUCUUCUAAUAACAAUGAUCAAAAUUUUGAUGAUGAAAGCGAUGAUGAACAUGAUUUUUAUCAAUUGGUGCUUGGGGGUUGUGUUGUAGCUGCAACACAUACUAGUUUCAAAGGAAAAAAAACCUUGUAGAACUUCUUCCCACACAAGAUACAAGUUUGUAAUGGAUGUCUUAAAUGGCUAUGAAAUUAGGUGUUUUGAGCAAUUUAGAAUGGAAAAACAUGUGUUUAUGAAUUUCUUAGAAACACUUACUAAAAGGUAUGGCCUAAAAGAAGGUUUUGAUAUGCCCUUAAUAGAGGUCUUAGCAAUGUUUCUCACUACAAUAGGUCAUAGACUAAGCAAUAGGAUGAUUCAAGAAAGAUUUCAACACUCUGGUGAAUCUGUAUCUAGAUGGUUUGAGAUUGUAUUAGAUGUUGUUUGUCUUAUGGCUAUAGAUAUUAUAAAACCAAGUGAUCCACAAUUUAAGGAUGUCCUUGAUAAAAUAAGAAAUGAUGAUCGGUAUUGGCCAUAUUUUCAGAAUUGUAUUGGGGUAAUUGAUGAAACUCAUAUACCUAUUGUGGUUUCCAGAGAUAGAAAAAUACCAUAUAUGGGUAGAAAAGGUAUGGCUACCCAAAAUGUUAUGGCGGUAUGUGAUUUCAAUAUGUGUUUCACAUUUGCAUGGGUCAGAUGGGAAGGCACUGCUCAUGAUGCACGGGUCUUUUUAGAGGCAUUAAGAAGGCCAAAAUUGGGUUUUCCUCAUCCACCUAGAGAUUUGUGAAUGAUAAUAUCAAACUUGUUUUUGUGAUCAAAUUUUUAUUAUCUAAUAUAUAUUUUUUGUUUUUGUUUUGUAGGUAAAUAUUAUUUGGUCGAUGUUGGUUAUCCUCAAAUGAGUGGAUAUUUAGGCCCUUAUAAAGGCGAGCAUUACCAUCUUCCAGAUUUUCGACGAAGUAGUUCACCUAAAGGUAAAAAGGAAAUAUUUAAUCAUAGGCAUUCAUUCUUGAGGUGCACAAUUGAGAGAACGUUUGCCGUUUUGAAGAAUAGAUGGAGAAUGCUACGAGAAAUGCACAAUUUUCCUCUUUAAAAACAAGUAAAGAUUGUUAUUACUUCAAUGGCUCUUCACAACUUCAUAAGGAUUAAUGCUAGAAUGGAUAUGGAAUUUAAACCUUAUGAUGAUGAUCAAGGGUUGCUUCCACUUAAUGAAGAAGAGAGUAGAGUGGAUUCACUUGUUGAGGAAGAUGGUUCACAUCAUACAAGAGAGAUGGAAGAACAUCGUGAUCGAAUUACAAAUCUUCUUAUAUCUCAUUAAUGUUUGAUUAUGACUCUAAUAUCCCUCCCCCCCUCUCCCCCCUUUUUUUUUGCUAUGAAAACAUUUGUUUUCUUAUUUGCUUUUAAUUAUAAUUUUUUUUUGAGAAAUUAAUAGAUAAUCAUAUAUUGUUUUAAUUUGAAAUUUAUCUUUUAUUCAAUCUUUUUUAUAUUGAUUUAGAUGUUUUUUGUAAAUAUUUUUAAAAAUUUUAGUAUAGUGAUAAAAAAUUAUUAAUUUUAAUUAGAAAAGUCUUUUUUUUUAUAGAAAUUAAUAGGUAAUCAUAUAUUGAUUUAGAUGUUUUUUGUAAAUAUUUUUUAAAAUUUUAUUAUAGUGAUAAAAAAAUUAUUAAUUUUAAACUAAUAUAUGAUAUUUAUUAUUUAUUAAUGCAAUUAUUUUUGUAAACAUUUUUCAAAAUUUUAUUUAAAUCAUAAAAAAAAUAUUUUUAGUUUUUUUAACAAUAAUAUAUAUAUAUAUAUAUAUAUAUAUAUAUAUAUAUAUAUAUAUAUAUAUAUAUAUUCUUUUAAGAUACAUGUUUAUAUAUUUUGUUGUAAUGAAAAGUUUUUUGUUUAUCAUACUAUUUUUUUUAAUUAAAAUUGUAUGUCAUUUUUGGUAAUUUAUUAAUAUUAAAAGUGUUUUUUUAUACUUAUACAACAUAUUAUCAAAAACACUAUUAAAAUCAUUUUUUUGAUUCUCAUAAAAGUAUUUUUCAUAGAAACACUACAGAAGAAAACACUUCAAAUAAAAACACUUCCACUAGAAUCACUGCCAAAUAGGCUCCAAGUGUUUCUUCAGAAAAGAUAACAAGUUAUUUUUCAUAUUUUUAAAAGUGCUUCUUAAAAUUUGUCAAAUACUUAAUUUUUUUUUUCAAAAACACUUUUUAGGCUAAAAACGUUUCUUAAAAUCACUCUAAAUGAAUUCAAAGAUUGUAUUUGAUAGUAUUUCCAUUUAAAGUGAUUUUUCAGAUUUUUAAAAAUGUUUUAUAAAUCUUACCAAACAUUUAAUUUUUUUUUAAAAAAAUACUUUUAAGCUAAAAACGAUUUCUAAAAUUGUUGUCAAAUGGAUUUUAAAAAUACAUUCGAUAGUAUUUUUACUAGAAAUGUUUGUAGUGAAAACAUUUUUAGAAAAAUCACCAAUCAAAUAUUUCUCAAAAAACAUUAUAAGUGAUUUUCUAGUAUCACAAGUAAUUCUUCAAAAUUUUAAAAGUAUUUCCUAAAUUUUGUUAGACAACCUUUUUUUUCUUUUUCAAAAACACUUUUUAAUUUAAAAAUGCUUCCUAAAGUUACUAUCAAGCAAACUCUAAUAAACAUAAACUACUUAUAGUUUGAAAAUAUUAUCUAAUUUUUUAAAAGCCAAGUUGAGGCGAAAAAAAAAUUAAUGCAAUUUAAUUAGAUAUAAUUUAUUUAAUUCCUAGAAAAUCAUAGAACUAGUAAAAUAGUACUCCGUUCUCGCUUGUUGGAGAGCUUUGUCAUCUUAAGAUGGGGUGGUGGUAAAAUGAUAACAAAAAUGAAAAUAAAAAUUUAAGAUAUAUUUCUUGAAAAUAAAAUUACAAACAUGCUUAUUUAUUUUUAAUGAUAACAAAAAUGAAAAUAAAAAUUUAAGAUGUAUCUAUUAAAAAUUAAAUUAUAAACAUGUUUAUUUUUAUUUAUUUUUUAAAUCAUUUGUAAUAUUUUUCAAAGAAAUAUGAUUUUGUAAAGAUAAUUUUAAGCAAAUAGUUCCUAAAAAAACCCUAAUAAACACUCUUUUAUGAAUGUGUUUGACAAUAUUUCUAUUUGAAAUAUUUUUAAUCUAAAUAUUUUUAAGAUAAUCACCAAUUAAAGGUUUUUCUAAAAAAACAUUAUAAAUUAUUUUUUAAUACCAUAAGUAGUUUUUCAGAUUUUUAGAAGCGUUUACUAAAUUUUGUUAAAUACUUAUACUUUAUUUAAUAAUUGUUUUUUAAAACAGUUUUGCAGAAUGGUUUUUAAUAACAAUUUUUAAAAAUUAUUGAAAUGUUUUAUAAAAUAAAAGUCUGUUUGGAAAAUUGAAAUGUUUUUAACUUAUUUUUAAUAUUUUUAAAUAUAUUUUAAAAAUAAUUUUAUAUCCCAUACUUUAUUUUUAAUAAUUCUACUUGCUUAAAACAAGUGAAAACAAUAAAAAGCAACUAAAAAAAUAUUCUCCGAAAGCAUGUUUUUUGUUCUUAAAAACAUAAAACAAAAAACAAUUUCUAGUUACCAAACAUGUUAUCUUAUUUUUUGUUCUAAAGAAUAAAAAACUGUUCUCAAAAAGAGUUACUAAACAUACCUUUAGGCCUUAUUUGAUAAUUGCUUUUGAAACUAAUUCUAAAAAAUAGUUUUUAAGAUUAAUUUUUGAAAACCGUUCUCCAAUAUUUUGUUGAAUAAAAAUAUGAUUAGGAACUAAAAUAUUUUUAAUCUGUUUUUAAUAUUUUUAAAAAUACUUUUUAUGUCUACAACUUUAUUUUAAUUAUUAUAUAUGUUUGUAUAAUUAUUUUUUUAAAACAACACUAAAAUAAUAGUGAAAACAACUAAAAGAUGUUCUCUAAAAAUAUUCUAUAUUUUAUUUUUGAGAAAAAAAACAAUUUUUGAUUGCCAAACGUAUUUUCCAGUUUUUUUCCUCUCUAAAAAACAGAAAACUGUUUUUGAAAACAGCUAUCAAACAUACCCUUAAUUUUUUUCAAAAAUACUUUUUAAGUCAUGAUUCCUAAAAUCAAUGUAUAACCUCUAGUUAAAAUUGCUUCUCAAAUAUGAAUUUGAUGACUGUACCGUCCAUGGUGAUCAGUUACCUUACAGCCCAGUCGACCAGGCUAAAUAAUCCAAAAAUAAUAAUAAUAAUAACUUCCAACUACAACUCAUGCCAAAGAAACUUCCUAAAUAUCAACACACAUUCACCACCCAGUCCUAAAUCCUAUAUGGAAUCAAACUGCAUACUGUUAUUUAGAGAUGAUAUUCUGAACCAAACAAACCCAGACAAGAAGCUCCAACCAUGGCUGCUCUGCAUUCAGAAUGGAACCUCCACCGGAGUUACCCCCAUUUUUUCAAGUGCAGAUUGGAACAUCAUACCCACCAUUCAAUCGGUACACCUUACUCUUUUAUAUGGUCUUUGUCUAUAUAUUUGUCUGGAGUGUGGCAUGUGGAUGGUCUAAAUUUGAUAAUCCUUAGCCAUGACCUUUAACAAAGCUACAAAUAUAAUGACCCUCACAGUGAAUCAUCAAAUGUGAAAUAUCAUAAUCAUCCUAUACAUAUAUAAUAUCCUCGUUGUGGCCUUCACGGGUCUAAAACAAACCCCCACACAUGCAAAAGAGGCCAAUUCAUCCACAAGUGGGAGUUUAUAUAUAACCCACUAUAAAUAUGCCCUCAAACAUGGCCUCAUGCAUCCUUAGGGCUUAGAGUCAUCUCCCAGCUUAGGACACUGCAUAAAAAUGAAGAUUUCUCAUUACUACUGCAUCACUAGUCUCCUGCUUCUGAUUCUCUUCUGCUUUUCAGAGGGCUGGCGCGCUGAUCCCACAUAUGGGUUCACUGUUGUGCCCUUGACAGAAUGGAAUUUUGAACUGCAAAAGCCAUAUGAUGUGCCGCUGGAGGAGCGCUACAGCUAUGAAAAUGGAGUAAGGAAGCUGUGGGUGUAUGCUGAUGAUAAGCCCCAUGACCCUAACAGUCUCACUCAGCCACGGACCGAAGUCCGCAUUCGGGUACUCUUCCUCUCUCUUCCUCUGCCUAUACACCAUGCUUAAACACAGUACUCUCAUUGUGAUCUUCUUGCAGGGACUUGACUACUCAUCUGGGGUUUGGCAGUUUGAAGGGUAUGGCUUUGUGCCAAAUGGAACCUCUGGUGUGACUGUCUCCCAGAUACAUGGUGCAGCUCAGGCCGCUACAACUUUGAUUCUGAGGAUCUACAAUGGUGAUAUGAGGUACUAUAGUGCUGAUCUGAUAGCCACUGGUAUGUAUGAUAGGUGGUUCAGGCUUAAUGUCAUCCACGACGUCGAUGGGGGGAAGGUGACAGUGUUCAUCGAUGGCGUUCAGAAAUUUCAAGUGAAGGAUAAAGGGCCAGGAGACUUGUAUUUCAAGUGUGGAGUUUAUGCUGCCCCGGGUAAUAUCAGCUACUGCAUGGAAUCAAGGUGGAGAGACAUCAAGAUUUACAAAAAGUAAUGGUGAAGGAUUGAGAUCUUUGUAGUCUGUAUUGAGAAAACUCUUGAUUAGCUAUUAUGCAGAUGGACUUUUUCUCUCAAAUGAUUUUGGGAAGGACUGAAUGAUCAAGCUUAGUAAGUCAUGGACUCAUUUUCCAAUCAUGAAUCCAAUUUGAGGUCAUUGAAUCAUUAAAAAAUUGGUCCAAAAUCAACACACCAGUUAGGUUCCAAGUAAUAAUAAAAAACUAAGAAACAUCCAAGGAGCAUAGUCCAAUCUAAGUCACAAAAUGUGUAUAAACUAUAUCCUGAUUUUGAUUUGGAAUCAAAUACGCCAUUGUUUCUACUUUAGAAUCGGUGAGCUGGGCCAACUGCUCGACUCUGAGAAGUUGACAAGGAAUAACUGCAACAAGUUUCAGCCAACAGUUGUGUGCAAUGAAUCUUAUGUUCCAAAAUUUCCAGGAUGCUGGAACAGAUGACUGAAACAUCAUCAUGGUUUCAGCCUAAGUGGGCUAUUCCCAGAAAAAGAGAAGCCACAUCUAGAAGGUUAAUGCUAUUAGUUUUUGAAUCAUUCUUCUUAUAAUGAGAAUGCUUUAAUGCCAAAGUUUUUGCAAUGAGAAGCAGUUUUUAGAACCCCACAGAACUUAAAAGAGAGGAAAGCAAAAGGGAUCCAAAACUGUUUUCAUAAAACAGUUUCUGAAAUGUUUCUGUCUUGUAUAACAACCAUGGUUAAAUUAGAUUGUCCAGCUGCAAUCUUGUGCAAGUCCUCUUCCAUGAAUGCGAAGGCGGGCUUGGACCUUCUGUCUUAGAGCCAUGGCUUGCAGAUUCAGCUUAUUAACAGUUGGAAAACAAGUAGACCAGGAUAAGACUAGCUGAGCUGCACUCUUAUAAUACAGCAAAAGAUUAUGUAUCCCUUUUAUGUUGCCUAGCAAAUUUUACCUCUGUUUAUGGUAUUUUUCUUUCUUUUCAAGUUCUCAACUAGAAUCAGUCCAUUAAAACCUAUCUUUUCAACUGUAUUUCAAUUUUCACCAGAUGGUGGAGAUUAUGGCCCUAGAGAUUCAUGUAUUGGCUGGCCCCCAAUUAGCUCCUCAACAAACUUGACUGCUUCUCCUUCAGGCUUUGCUAUUGUUUAAUGUGAGGAUCUGCAUCCUCCAUGAAAAAAACAAAACAAAACAAAGUAGUCUUCUUCAUAGACCCCCUCAAUGAAGUCAAUAAUUUAAUCAUGUAGUACCUAUAAUUUUGAGCAGUAGACUCUAUACUCCCAAUGCUUCCAAGACUACGACAAAAAUAAAAGUUUUAGUACUAAAAAAUUUCUUUCUUUAAGUGUUCUAAAGAAUAUUUGAUCACAAAAUUCAGAUGGAUACUCUCUCCAACUAUAAAUUGAAAUGUCAAUGGAGACUAGGAAAAUUAAUAAGAAAGUUGAUAGUGGGGGGCACUUUCAAGUGACCUUCAUGAAAGGAGAGGAAAUGUUAAACAUAAACAGCCUUGUGUAAUCUUUGGAGCUGAUUAUAAACUUCAAACAAGGCUCUCACAUAGGGAAUAGAUGAUUAAGAAGAUGGUCAAAUACUCAUCUACAUGGUUCUGCCUAUUUUACUCAUCUCUUCUUUGGAAAUUUCACAAGUACUGCCAUGUUGACUGAUGCUGACCUUUUUAACAUGAGCUAUCAGUUUUAAGAAACAUAUGCUGUAACACCCUUUAGACGAAGUAAACUAGAUCGAUUAGGUAUAACAAAGCUCCAAAUUACUAGGCAAAGAUAUGACUGCACCUGGGGACCUGUAUUUCAAAUGUGGGGUUUAUGCAGCACCAGCUAAUUCAAGCAACUACAUGGAAUCAAGAUGGAAGGGAUCAAGAUAUUCAAAAAAUCAAGUCGGGAAUUGCAGUAACUAUGGCUAGAGUCAUGUAAACUUUGUUAUGUUGUUAUCCUAUAGAACUAUAGAAGCUUGUAUACUCUCAUGUGAAAGAAAGCAGCAGUGUAGAACAUGUCAUUUCCAUCUUUAAAAUCAGAAAUCACAGACUUCAGGCUUGUACUAGAGAAAAGAUGACAAAUUAAACAAAACAUAACAAAACAACAUGGGUUGAUGCCUCAUGGUAAGUGGCAACCUCAGCCACUUACAUUCCAGUUUUCAGUCCAUUAACCAUAGAGCCUAAAGCUUGAACAACAGCAUAAGAAAUCCAAAAUUGGGCUCUCUAUCUUGAGCAGUAACAUUUUGCCCAUCUGGGUAUGCCAGCAAGAAGAAGAAAGUUCACAAAAACUACAGUUCUCUCUGGCAUCUUACAGUUCAUUUGGCUUUACAUCAGAAACUUCCUUGGUAGGCAAAUUGCAAAAGAAAUGCAUUCAAGCAACAGCAAAAUUGAAGGGAAGGGAAAUUUUUUUGAAGAAAUCUUAAUUUGUCGUUUGAUAGUGUUAUUGAAAUAGAAAGAAAAUAUGGUGGAAAUCCAAAGGGGUUUGUAGCAUUUGAAACUCUUUAUUCUAAUUUUUCAAAAAAAGAAUCAGUGUGGGAAAAGGAAGAAUAGGCAAGUACCAGUAGAAGCAAAACUACUACGUCAAUAGGAAUUCAAGCAAAUGAUGAUAACUGAUAUCAGCAACACAAAUUAAAUUGAGUAAACAAGCGCGAUCCAUUAAUUCCACAUCCUCAAUUAGGUACUCUAAUCAACAAGAAGGAAGACAAAAGAAACCUAAUCCUCUUCUUAUACAAGCUCAGAAAGGAAAUCUAUGGUAAUAUCUUGACUAUUAUUAUCAAUCACCUUGAACCGAUCUAGAAGGCCAUGAAUGAAAUGAAUGAAAUGCUGAAGUGAAUAUAUUUUUUCUCUCUUUGUUUUUUUUUUUUUUGCUAAAUGGCACAUUUGUACAGCAUUAUGAGGUAAGCGAGAAGCCUAGGAACCACAGGGAAGGCAACACCAUUUCUCAAUCAGAGAAAAGAACCACUGUAGAGGGUUGGGAUCUGUGUCUUCUGAUGAAGAUGCAGUAGGCAGUGGUAGAUGUGGAGGUAAAUGCCGAUGAAAUGCAUCAACUGCAGCUGCUACCCCAUCUUCAUUCUCUAUCAAUUUUGCUAAUUCCAUUGCUUGAGAUUUAACCUGGGAGAAUCAAAACAUGCCCCAUUGGUUUAUCAAUUCAGCAUAUGCAGGCUACCAUGUGACCUCUCCUUGCAUGAAAGUGGAAAACCAAGUGCCUGUUUGGAUAUACUUCCUGUUUUUCUGUUUUUAAAAUCAAAAUAUAGUAGCAACUUUUAUAUAAGACAUAAGAAUUCUUAAAAGCUUACAUUGAAAAAGUAAUGGUUUUAAAAAAUGUUUAAAAACAUUGAGGCAGAAAAAAAAUAAAAUUUAGACCUCAAAGUUGAAAGUUUUAGAAAGUGGUUUUUAAAAAUAAAAGGCAAAUUUAUUACUACAUUCCAAUUUUAAAAAUAAAAGAUGAGAAGUGUAUCCAAACGGACACUAAACAACUAUACUAAAAUGACGUACCAUUCAUGUGCUGAAACUUUGUGACAAACAUAACAAUUCAUUCUAACACAAUAUGCUCAAUUAAGAUGACCAAAACCCUUUUUCCGUUUUUUUUCCUUUUUCUUUGGUGAAUCCCCAGGAUUGUGCUUCAGGAAUAGAAUUCUCACUUUUUUGUAAAUGGUAAAUGUCAUGCAGUAUAAAAUUACUUGCAAGUCUUUAAAUGCUACUUUUAUGUCCCUCAAUCUACAUUGAUUUAAUAGCUAAAUAAACAUGGUUGUCUCAUGAGAAAAAUAAUUUAAACCAGUUUUGCAAGGAUUUUGUUUCUACAGAAGAGGGAAUUAGGCUGAAGACAGUACACAGUUGUAAGUUGUGAGAGCUUCCAAAGAUGACUUAAAUGAUGAAUUUAUAAAGACCUGAGAAAAUAGAAUUGCCUCAUAAUUCUAGAUGGUAGAAUUUCAUUGUUUUCACUACUUAUCUGUAGGUUAAUGCAUUGAUAUGGCUUUGUGGGACCCAUUAAAUAUGUGACAUUUUCAGAUGAUCUUUUCAUGAGCAAUGGAGGAUAUAAUCAUAAUUACCUCUGGCUGGAGCAUGAAUCGUAUGGCAUCAGUAAGGGUCUCAACACUGAGCUGCGAUAUAGGUAUAGGUGCAGGCCCAAGUCCUCUUUGAUGAAUUCUAUCACCCCAGAAGAACUGAUCUCCAAAGAACGGCACUAUGGUUGUUGGACACUGAAAUUCAAAAUUUGGACGUCAAAAAAGACCAAAAAGUGGAAUUAUAUGCAGAUUGCAUGGUGCUAUGAAUGCAUACAAUCAAAAUCACUUAACAGGGAUUUUUCCCAUCAUUAACAUAAAAAUCUUUCAAAACCUUAAAGGCAGAAGUAUCUCAAACAAAUUGAAAAUUUUAAAUGAAUGUCAUUCUCAUAAUCAAGAAUAUCAAAAUUUGCAACAUUCAAUGAGAGAAUAUUACCCCAGCCUUGAGUCCUGUAGCUGUGGUUCCAGCACCACCAUGAUGAACCUGCAUAUUUGUGGCAAUACAGCUUCCAGUUAAUGGUCUGCUUUACAGACAGCAAAUUUACCAUGUUCAGCAAAAGUGCAUACAAAGAAGUCAUGGUUCUUGUCCCUAGAUUUGGAUGGCAUGACCAUAUUUCUCUGAACAAUACCAACUAGCAAUCAUCUGUUUUUAAUUUAAUUUAAUUUAAUUUAAUUUAAUUAAUUAAUUUAUUUUUGGACAAGUAGAGCAGGCCAAAAAGUGGAACUACAUUAAGUAGAGCCUGUCAAAUUCUUAAUUGCUUUAUCAACUAGCAAUCAUCUGUUUUUAAUUUUAUUAUUUUAUUUUUAAUAUUAUUUUAUUUAUUUAUUUUUGGACAAGUAGAGCAGGCUGAAAAGUGGAACUACAUUAAGUAGAGGCUGUGAAAUUCUUAAUUUCUGUACAACUCACCAAGGCAAGAUAAAAUACAACUCACCACAGCAGAACACCGAGGAAACAGCCAAUCAUGGGGACAUUCCUCCAGAAGAAAAACAUAAUCAGGAACUUCCGGAACUGUAGAAUAGAGGCUGAAGUAAGUGAAUUACCUAUUAAAAGGAGAUACAAGUUUGGAAUUCAAAACAACACCAUCUGUAUUUGAUUUUUGAAUAACACAUCAGGUAUAAUUGACAAUGUUCUUAGGUUUUUUUUUGUUUUUUUUUAUUUUUUAUGUUGAACACUUCUAGAGGAUCUUCAGAAACCUCUAUAUGACAAAGAAAAACAAAUCUCAAUAAGAACCUAAGGUAUUAUGAAAAACAUGAUGUAGAUUUUUUAUGAUGAUGAACUGUUCAAAUAAAACAAAAGUUGAGGGAGAGAGAGAAGUGAGGUCCCAAAACAUAACGAAAAAACAAGAAAUUUCAUUAAAAACUCAAAACAUUAUGAAAGAAGAAUCUGUAUCCUUUUUAUUAUGAUCAACUGUUCAAAUAGAACAAAGAGUUGAGAGAGAGACAGAGAGAAAACAAAUGUGAACACUAGGUUUAGAGAGAUGUGAAAUGGAAUAAGGGUAAAAUCAGAAGUAUUUUGAAGUUUUUUUAGAAUUCUGAUACAUCCACUCCAUAGAGAAGAUGGCCUUUGAUAUAGUCAAACCCAAGUAUUUCCAAUUAUUACAAAAAGAUCUUCAGAUCAAAUAGAUGAAAAGAAUGAAUCAUUGUUUUUGGCUUUUUCUUCAAACUUCACAAUGAAUCAUUGUUUCAUCCCCUUUUCUUCAACAAGUCAAUCUUGUAUUCCAAUGUUCAGGAUCACUUCAGAAAGAAUCAACUAAAAUGAUUCUACGUAGAACUCAACCAAGUCCAAGUGGUUUUUGGCCACAAUUCAACACGGGGACAUCAGAAGAUGAAAAGAAUAUCUUUGUGAAACGUUUGAGAAUUAACCUAACAAACUCAAAUGCAAUCUAGUUAAAAGUCUCUUUCCUUAACAUUUGGUUUCUGAGUGAAACAGUUUGAACAACAAAAAUGAGCCCCUUAAAAAGUAACUUCCUUGAAUCAGGCAAAUAUCACUGAGGCUUCAUUUUGAGAAGUACCAAAUUGUGAAAAUGCAGUUACAUGCACAAUAAGAAUAUGAGCAAUAAAGCAGAAGCCUCUUGCAGUUAUUAUGUCUUGAUUCAAGCACAAUACAAGCUUUAUCAAUGUUUAACACAAAAACACCUAGAUUGAUAAGACACAGGAAAAACUGAAAAUUAUUCUUAUUAGUGGAGAGCAAAGCAGGCAACUGACCCUAAGUUGACAAAGGCAUAGAGUCCAUGAAGGAAUGCACAUCAAACCAGAAGCUAUUACCAAGCAAUAUGUAAUUUUGCCAAACACUCAGAAUUUAAGAUAUAAAGUGAGAAAAAGUGCAACAGCUUAGCACCAAUAAGAAGACACUCACGAAUUCCAAGGCCUCCCCAACCUCGGUCAAUUACUCCCCUCUGACCUGUAUCUUUCAAUGCCUUUAAUAUGAUAUCCGUAGUUUUCUUGGGAUCUUCAAGAGGCUUAACAAGAAACAAAGUAAUCUUUUCAAUUAUAAGCUUUUCAAAAAUAUCAGCAGAAACAGCAUGUUCUACAUGCCAGCAAAAUGAAUCAUGAAUAGAAUAGAAAGUUUAUAUAGAAUCCUUACACCUGUAGAGUAUAUGAAGACAAACAAUGAACUCCACCCAUCACAACAACAAAAUUUUAAAAUUUUGAAGGAAGAAAUUUGACUUAGUAGGUUCAAUAGUACAAGUUAGAAGAAGACUGUUUCUACCGACAUUAUGAUUGCCUAGACUGUCUGAUAGAGGAUUAAGUUAAUUAGUCAUCAAGAUUUUAACUAGGAUACCAUGGCGUGGUUCUGGUCAAUGAAACCCAAGCGAUACAAUGUUGUGGCCAAUAGAAAGACAAAUGAAAGAAAGAAAAAAAUGCUAUAACACAAUCUAGAGAAAAAAAAAUUUAGCAAUUUAAUUUACCUAAAAUAUAUAAGUUAACAGGUUUACUUGAUCAUCAUACCCAGGGUGAAAACCCUCUGUUGCAUAGGAACCAACAAGAAGCACAAAUCAUAAAUCCUUUUACCAAUAGUUUGAAGUAAGAUCACCAUACCAUGCUCCCAAAACCUAUAUAUAUAGGUUUGUCUCCUUUUUGGAUCCACUGAACAAACUCUUCUUGAGGUUGAUACCUGGACCCAAGGUUUAAGAAACAAUAGCCAACAACAUCAACUAAGGAGCCCCAAUCUGCAUUGAAGAAGUUUGGGAGGUAUAAGUGCAAAGUGCCCACAUGAAUAAAGCUGGAUAACGCUUCAAUUUGAUUAAAGUUAACACAGAACCAUGGCCUAGAAUUACUUUUAGGUGCCUCACCAUGUCGCAUUUUAAUUUGGUGAGGGAGAAGAGGAUUAGAAAAGCAGUAGUUAGUUACUGAACAAUCUCCCAGUUUAACUAAAAACAAAACAUCAGAUAAAAUACAAAAAGAAGUAUUGGCUACCUUCUAACAGAAAUAAUUGGCCCUUCAUUUUAGCAUUGGAAGCCCUAAAGUCAAAAAAUAUUGGCAAUACUUCCCCAAUAAUUUUUUAUAUUCUUGUUCUUAUUAACAAUCACCUAAGACGAGGUAAAGGGAACCCAAACAACAUGUAACAUAGGUGAUGUCAAAAAGAAGAAGAAUAACUACAUGACAUACAGCAGAUUGAAGGACAAAAAGGCUGUCCAGGCAUCAAUUUUUUUUGUACGGGCCAAAAAUAAAGUAUGAAAUCUAAGAGACCGUGUAGUUCAGUCAUUAUCAACAAAAGAAACAUAAAAUGGCUAAAUAUAAAUCUCAUAUUAUAGCAUGUUAGUUUGCACUUUGUAUAAACAAAGCCAUUUUCACCUUUUGGUUUUGACACAACAUGGGGACUCCACAUGUAGCCUGUUGGCAGAUGAGAUAUUGACCCAUGGUAAGUACUGAAGUAUGCAAUAGGAGGAAGCUUCAACUUCUUUUUCCUGAAGUCAUUAAUAUAUCCUCUUAUGCCCCACCAUAUCAGCAAAUCCACAACUAUAUAUGAAAGCUGGAUCCAGCAAACAGAAAAUAAGGAAGAGAUAUUUGUAAGCACAUCCAACAAGGGAAAAUGAAAGAAAAGAAAGAAAAGAAAGAAAGACACCAAAAAAAAAAAAAAAAAAAAAAAAAACAAAUGCAGAAGAAUCUGGCAGUAAAGAAAAUACCCAAUAACCAGCACUUCGAGGUACACGAGCCAAUGGAUGAGAAAAUUCAUAUGUUGGCCUGCCUAUUGAAAGCAGAUGUAAGAAGGCAUUGCCUCGUAUAAUGUUCUCCGCAAAAUAAAUAAAAUUUUAAAACAAUGCCUUUGUAGUACACAACUAAAAUUUAGCUCCAUUUGCAUUAUUGGCUAAUUCCCUAAGACCUUAGGCAUUAGGGCACAUGAUAGUCUAAUAAAAAAAAUGUCUCUUCAUAUAAACACUUCCUUUUUUUUUUUAAUGUUACUUUGAAAAUACGAACAGCAACUUAUCUUAACAGAAAGAUCCAGAUUAUUUGUGCACUCAUUUUUUUUUUUCUUUCCAAUGAAUGUUUAAAGAGCAUGCCUUUGGCACACAAGUGUAUUUGCUUGAUUGGCAUUAUUGGCUCAUUCCCUAAUACCUUAGGCUUUGGAUAAGCAAUAGUCUAAUAGAACAGACUUCACUUCAGUUAAACAAUUUGAUUCAUGUUGCUUUGAAAAUAUCAACAGCGAUGUAUUUUCAGAGAUAGAUACUUCCAGAUGAUGAGUUCACUUGUUUUAUCUUCUUUCCAGUGAGUCUCUGUUGAGUGUGGAUGAGAAGAUGAGAAGCAUGUCUUUCUCACUAAGAAUAAACAGACAGGGCCAAAACAUCCUACUGCUAAGAUAACAGACAUUAGGUAAAUGAGACAAUAUUCCAGCCUCUCAGCCCCAAGCCAUAUUGCAAACUAGUUGGUUUUGAGGUUGCAAUACCUGAAAACUACAUCUAUUUUAUAGGUUCUUGGCAGUGGUGGAGCCAGAAAGCUUGGUUGGGGGGGCAAAAUUGUUCACAAAUUUGAAAAAUAUGAUAUCCUUCUUAUCCUUUUAAGGAACUAAGUAGUUUAUGUAUUUAUAAAAGUAUACAAAAAUAUUACAUUAAAUCUGCAACUUUUCAAUAAUGUUGGCAAAAAAACAAAUAUUAAAAGAAUUAAAAAAUGAUUAGAAAUAUAAUUAGAAAAUUUUCAAUAUUUUUUCAUUAAAAAAUCCUUCAAAUUUUUUUUCAAUAAAUUUCAUAAUUUUUUUUAAUAAAAUUUGAGAUUUUUUUUUCUUGAAUAAGUAUAAAAUCAAUUGAAAGUGAUGAAAUCUUUUACUUAAAAAUUACCGAUUAUUUAGUAAGAUCCCUAACAUUCAAUAUCUUGAUAUUUAAACCUUUAAUAAAUUCAUAUAUCAACUUAAAUAAAGUAUAAAUAGUUACAAAGAAUUUGAUACUUAUCAUUGUGUACUGUUCAAAGUAUUUUAUUGGUUAUAUUAUCUUCAAUGGCUAAGACUAAAUAUUGAUCCAAUUAAUGUGAAUAAAUUUAAAAUUUUUAAAUGAUGGAAGAGAAUAUACCAUGAAAAAAAUUAUUUAAUAAAACAUAAGGUACAAAAUGAUAAAAAAACUUAAUUUUAUUCAAAAAAAAAUUAUAAGAUGGAAAAAAAAUUAAGAUAAUGUUAGCAUAUGAGAAAAUAAUGAUAAAGAUAGAACAAAAGGAAACGAUAAGUAGGGAUAUUAAAUAUAUUUUAUAAAAUAUUUUAUUUUUUAAAUUUUAUUUAACUUAAUAAAGUAAGGGUUAAUUUCACUCAUUUAGAUUAAAUAUACUAAGCUCAAUGAGAUCUAGAUUAAACACUUAGCCAUUAUUGACUUGAAAUUUUAUUAAAUAACUCCUUUAUUUUAAGGUGAAAGGAAAACAAAUGAAUAGGAUAAGGGAGGAUAUUUAAUGAAAUUUCAAACUAAUGGUGGCUAAAUAUAUUCAACACAAACCUCAAGGGAGAUGAGUGAAAUUAAGAGUGCGUUUGAUAGCGUUUUUACUUAAAGUGUUUUUAGUGGAAGUGUUUUCUUUGUAAGUGUUUUUAGGAGAAUCACCUAUCAAGUGUUUCUCCAAAAAACAUUGUAAGUGAUUACUCAAUACAAGAAGUGAUUUUUCAAAUUUUUAAAAGUGUUUCGUAAAUUUUGUCAAACACCUAAUUUUUUUUUUUCAAAAACAUUUUUUAGGCUAAAGGAACUUCUUAAAAUCACCAUCAAACAGACUCCAACUCUACAAAGUAAAUUUACUUUUUAGUUUUAUUUAAAAUUUAUAAUAUUAUUUUUAUUUAAACUUUUUGUGGUAUUUGAAAUGUAAUUAUUAUUUUAUAUUUUAAACAUUCAAAAUUAAAUUUAUAUUUAUAGGGUUCAUUUCUAUUUUUUUUUUAAAUCUCUAGUUAUAUAUAAGAUUUUUUUUUUUUUUUUUUGGAAUUUGAUGGGAUAAUACAUAAGAUUUUUUUCGUCCUUUUUUUUUGGGGCGGAUGCCCCAUCGGGCCUUUACUAGAUCCGCCUCUAGUCCUUGGCACAUAGACUGCACAUUUCUAAUAUUUAAACAAAAAAUAUAUGUGUUAGCCUAAUGAUAUCGAGGGCCUAAAUCAUAACAGCUUAAGCUUUUAGAAAAGUCAGUAACCUAACAAUAUGCAACAUAUGUUUCACAAGUGAAGGAGGCACCUAUCACAUAUUAAGCAUAAGGCAGUGCCAGAGUUGUUAACAUGGUUCUUAGUAGCAUAUUUCUGAAUGAGCGGUUCCACAUUCAAAUUAAGAUGCAAGGAAAGUCUAGUUGAAACUCACGUCCAAGGCAUUGUGAAGAAGAUAUGGAGGGGUAUACCAAGAGCUUCAGCAACAUGUGCAUGUCCUACAACUCAAAAAUAUUUUAGAAUUCCAACGUACAUAGUUCAGAAAAAGCAAUGACAAAAGAAAAUAUAAUUAUUUAUCGAAAGUAGAGGAUACAGAGUUAUAAACGCAUCCUUAAGAACUAUAAUGAAUUGAUAACCAAGCAUCAGUUCACAUAACAUUACAACUAAGUUUCUCCAUAAUAACAUGAACAAAAUGAAUUGUCAAAGAGAGUUACAAUAGGACAACAAAAGAUAGGAGACCUAUCCUGACAAGGCCAAUAAAAUUUUUUUAUGGUAGCCCAAUUGUCAACCUAAUGCAAUUUGUGUGAAAUCAAGGUUUGGUUAAUCUCAGUUUUGAUAAUAACAAAACAAGGUUUGGAAGUAAAAAUUAUAUUUCAAGUGUGAUUAGGCAAAAAAAUUUCCAAAGUGGCAAUCACAAAAACAAAAUCAAGCUAAGAGUAAUCAAUAAGAAGAAAAGAUCUCAAAGAGAAGUGUUUUUCAAGAUCUAAGCUUUAUAGGAUCUCUUUGUAAGGUUGUUGGUGUGCUAGGUCUUUCAUGCAUUACAUUAUUAAUUUACGCACCAAAAUCAUUCAAAAGUAAUUUUGUUUUAAAAUUGGACGAUUUCAUGUUUUCAACUAAAACCUUACGUUAAAUGUUUUCCAAACUUGUUUAAAAGGUUUUAAGUUGAAAAUGAUGAUUGUUGAGUCAAAAAUGGCUUAACCGGUUAAAUUGGAUGAGGAACCGGUCGACCUAUUUAACUCAACCGAUCGAAGGGUGCAAAAACCUUCUCUCUCUUCCAGAACGCUUAUUCAACAUGUCAAGGUUGAACCUCAACCAGUUGAGGUCCGGUCAAGGGGCAGUCAAGUUCCAACGGUCACCUGCCAAACAUUAAAUACUAACGGCUAGUCAACCGAUCGACCUUCAACUUGACCGGUCGAACCCCCAAUGGCUAGUUUGGUCAUUUUCCUCUAUAAAAAAAGCUUUAAUCUUCAUUGUUUCAAGAGCUUAACCUUUCUAAACUUUUCCCGAAUAUAUUUGAGUCUUGGGAAAGUGUUUUUGAGUGCACUAUUAUUCUAAAACUUGCAUAUCAUUAGUGCACCUUUCAAUAUUAGUUUUUCUUGUACAUUUGAGCCUAAAGUUUUGUACUAGGAUUUUGUGAUAAUAUUUCCUAUCUUCAUUUGUAAAUCUUUGAGAAGAAAAGUCUAAAUGUGUGAUAUCACUUAGGGAUUCUCAAGUGUGGGGUAUCACUUGAGGUGUUGUUCAAGAGUGGGGUAUCUCUUGAGGAUUGUAAAGGGUGCUUGGAGCCAAAAGUCCAAGAGGGUGAAUUGGAAUCAUAAUCCAAUUGUAUUGCUUGAAGGCUUGGUUUGGAAACCUUGAAAUAGUGGAACCUCAAGCUUAGGAUUGAAGCUAGAGGAGAGUGGACGUAGGCCAAAUUGUGUCGAACCACUAUAAAAAUUUUGUAUUUGCAUUCUCUCUUCCACACUUUUUUACUUAUCUUUAUAUUGUUUUAUUAUAUAUUUGCAUAUAAUUGUCUCUUGUAUUCAUAUAAUUUAAAUUUGCGAAAAGAGACCAUCACUCUAUUCACCCCCACACCUCCCUCUAGGGUGAUUACCUUAGGUUAGAUUAGCCUAAUUUUUCUAACAAUUUGGUAUUAGGGAAAUUGGGGACAAUGGCUAUGGGAAUAGAGCAGGAAAGAACACUUGAGUACCUAGUAGUGCAGAAAGAGUUUUACAGGUGUCCAGAAGAAUGGAUCAUAACAACACAAGCUAUAGACAACUAUAAAUAUUUAUUCUUCUAAUAUUAAUGAUGCAAUCAUGAUAUGGUUGAUUUCCAAUCCAAGAUGGACUUUAUGACUUAGCCUAACAAGGGUUGAAGUCCCUUUCAUGUGCUUUAAUUAUCUCCCUUACUUUUUUUUUCCUAGCGGCUUUAUAUUUUUACUAAGUAGGAAUAUCUCUGUCACACUUUACCAAAAAGUGACAUGCUUGCUUAAGGGUGAGUCUGCCUGGACACCUUAAUUAAGGAGAAUGAAGGCUAAGAUAUGAUUUCAUUAGGAUUUCCCUAAGCAGAUUGUAGGAUUGUCUUGUAGCCCUUUGUGCCACUGUUUUCAAAGAGAAAAAGAAGAACUUCUAAAGUUCUCAAGGUUAGGACAUUCAGCUCUGUUCUAAAGAAAAUUAUAAGCCUUUCAUUUUCUUCUUUCUUUAUCAGCAUUUAACCAUGACCUUGUGAUGUAUGGUAUAUACUGUGCUCAUGUACAUAAAUACAAUCAAUAGAAAAAUAAAAAACAGAAGGGCUAGAAGACGAAAAUAAAGGUAUAACUUCAAUGAACUCACCAUAAGCAGGAGGGUUUGCAAUAAUUGCCUGAGCUCUAAAAGGCACACCAGUUUCUAUAUCUGGUUCUAUGCAUGCUGGAAGAAGAGAUUCAAUAAUGGCCUUUAGCUGCUUUCUUUGUACAGAUAGUUCUCCUGGUCCAGCUGGAAUGAAACCUUUAUUUCUGGCCAUAUCUAAAAAUUAUAAAAACCCGUACUUACUAAUUGAAAAAAACAAAAAAAACAAAAACAAAAACAAAAACAAAGAGAAACCAAGCUGAUAAUAUCAACCAUAUUUCUGAAAUAGUUAAAACAGAGCUUGGGAAUUGAAGGCCUUUGUCUCAAGAGAUUGAAAUCUUGAUCUGUAUCUCACUUCUCACCAAAACAAAAUUUGUACAUUGUUUCUAGAGGUAACCUUAAUAGCAGGGCACCGAUUUGCAUAAAGCCCUAGUUAAAACAUUAAUUUGUCCAUUACAUAAAACUGUUAUGUCUUGCUUGGCAAUUGUUUUCAAGAACAAUAUUUUAUUCUCCAAAAUAAAAAAUAAAAAAUAAAAAAGAAAAACAGGAAAACAUGUUUAAUAAUCAGAAAACUGUUUUUCUUUUAUGUUCUUAAAAACAAAAAACAUGUUUGUUUUCAGAGAACAUUUUUUAAUUGUUUUCACUUGUUUCCUGAGGUAUUUUAAAAAAUAAUUGUAUAAAUAUGAAAAAUGAUUAAAAAUAAAGCCCCAUAUAUAAAAAUUAUUUUUAAAACAUAUUUCAAACCAUUAAAAAUAGGUUAAAAACAUUUCAAAUUUCUAAAUAACCUUUUUUUAUACAAAACAUUAGAGGACAACUUUAAAAAAGUAUUCUCAAAAAUUGUUUUUCAGAAUUGUUUUCAAAAACAGUUGCCAAACAGGCCCUUAUCGUUCCAUCUAAUAAAAAGAAAUCAUAUACAUGUAUUAAAUUGCAGUCUGCCAAGGGUCCGUAAAGGCCAUGGCAAAACAGGUAACAGAAAGGGAUAAUUGUGAAAAGGAGGGUCUAAUAUAAAGUGAUCUACUAAUAAAUCAUCAUGAUAAAGCAAAUCAAAUUUUGUUGGAAAAAAAUAUAAAAUUCCAAAACUAAGAGCCUCUUACAUCCUGCCAAAACCCGAGGAUCACCACCCAAAGGAUAGAAGUCCACACCAGCU